rnacentral:lncRNA from 1 species
CAUUAAAAACUUUUCUGUGUAUUAGAUAUACCACAGGGGACUUUUUUGUUUUUAACCCAAGAUUUAAAGAUAAUAAUAAGCAGUGUUGCAGUACAAUUGACUUCACUGUAACAUUCAUCAAACCUGUGCACUGCAUUUUGACGCUAUGAUGGAAAUAGUAAAACAGAAAGCCUUUAACAAUUACGUGAUCUUAACAAAAAUGACCUGUUUCUGUGUGCAAAAAGUUUUAAUACACGGAAACAGCUAUUAUGCACAUCUUGAGGAUUGAAAUUUCCACCUGGAAUAUAAAUUAACAGCCAAACAACCAGGCUUAGCGUUCCCUUGGCAUUUCAAAGCAUCCUGUUUUGACCAAUGUCAAUUCCAUGGCUCCAGGAUCAGCAAUAGAUGUCCUCACAAUUAACUCGGAAUCCACCACCUUCCUCAUGGUCAAGAUACAAUUUUACACAUCAAUCAUUUAACUCCCUUCAUGCCUCUUUCUCAGCAUACCUUUCAAUUCCAGGACUGGCUUUGACAUAACCAAGAAGUGAUUGAGGCAAGGGAACCCUCGCGGGGUGGUGGGAUUCUAUCGCUUUAUACAGGAUGUGAUUUCAUACAUCUACAUCUUCCAAUGGAACUUCUACGUGGGCAGUGACUAGCUAAGUGAAGUGGCACAUUAAACUCGUCUAUCUGGAAAGAAAAAAAAUAUCUGAACCUUCAACUGAAUGUCACGAACUAACUGGUUCAACUCGCUGGAGAAGUUCCAAUACACUGCUUGCUUUUCUUUUAGCCCUAUCAGUGCCACUCUCUGACAAUUCCCUCAAAACCUCUUCUGCCCCAAGGUCUUAGCUAAUUUCAGGUAUUGCCCAUCGCCUGUGCACAAUGACCACAGAAUAGCGGCAGCAUUCUCCCGGUUGCGUGGAGAGCUGGUCCGAAUGACCUCUACCAAUACCGGGAUUGGGUCAGCUUGACCAAUUGCCACUUUCCCCUCUGGAUGGCUAGCAAGUAUGGCCAAUAUUGCAAGAGCUUCAUCUACCAUUCCACCGCCAGGAUCCUUCAGCAAUCCUAUUAAUGGUGGCACAAUCCCUGAUCUAACUGCCCUCACUUUGUUUCCUUGAUAGAUUGAAAGAUUAAAUAUGGCAGUGGCUGCGUCCUUCUUUCCUCUUGGGGUCCCUUGGCAGAGUAAGUCAAUAAGUGCUGGGAUGGCCCCAGCUGCUCCUAUUGCAACCUUGUUCUCAUCAACAACCGACAAACUGAAAAGGGUAGCUGCUGCAUUUUCUCUUGCUUCCAUGCUUCCAACUUUCAGCACAUCCACAAUAUCAGGUUUGAGAUUAAGCUUAGUUGACAAAGGACAAGAUCACCGCUACAGAGGAUUAUCUGCAAAUAAGGUGAUAAGGCAUGUGACAAAAAUUAUGCUUCAUUUAAUGAAGAAUUCUCGAAGUCUUUAUGACCAUAUGUGUUUUUGAAAUUGUUUCAACUCUGAAACAAUUUCUGCAUCUAUAAAAUAAGAUAAGUUUUAGCUGAGGCAGAGUAUUAAUCUUAUUUGGAUGCUUGAUUCUUGCAUCUAAUGAUUGUAUGUGAAGUUGUGGACUAUAAGAUUACUAGAAGAUUUACUAUGGUCUUCAUUGGCUGUAGUUUUUAGUAAAUUAAUUUUUUGGGUGAAUUCACUGUCCAUGGUUUCAUUCUGAACCCUAACAUGCGUUUAAGUUAUCCCACAUGGUGUAAACCAGAAAUCUUCAAACAAUGCCCUUUCAUCAUGUGGCAUGUGAAGCUGGGUGUCUUCACUGAUCACAUGAUGCUCCAGAUACUUAAGCCGAUAGUUUGUUCUGGAGCAGUGAGAUUAAUCGUUGUUUAAAAUGGCUGAAUUUGAACUUUCUCACGACAUAUGCUGUCGGAAGAGAAAAAGACUUUCUAGGUAGUAAAGGGAUUAGUUUUACAACACCAUGAAUCUUGAUGCAGCUCAGUUUGGGUUUUGAGUGAGCGCUUCCAAGUUUAAGUAUUAGCUAGUAAGGUAGUACAAAUUUGUAGAAAUGUGUAUAAGACUGCUUCAAGUGAGUCCUGCUGUCAAGGAUAAGGCAUGCUAGCACAUGAAAUCUAUAACUGAGGUUUGUUAUUGGGCUUCCUAUGGCUAUUGAUUUGAGUUGUCCAAAGUGAUUCUUGCUAUAAUUUUGUUAACUGUGCAACUUUUUGGUUCCAGUUGAUACAAAUGAUUUAUCAUAGAUUCUUUGUUUUGUAAUUUAAAUAAAUUCCUGCUUAUGUUGAUUUCAGAGGAAGUUCAAGAAUUCUGGUUAGUUUUAGAGAUCUCUCAUGCUUGGGUGAAUAUACACUGUUUACAUUGAAUUAUUUCGUUCUGCUUGUAUUUUGAGGAGUUCUUGAAUUGAAUACUUCAUGUUCUGGAUGCUUGAAAUGGCUUCUGAUCAGUUGUCAUGCUAUAGGUAGAAUAUGGUUGGACAUGCUGGUUGGCUGCUCCAAGAAAAGUUUUCUGUAGGCUUUGCAACUGCCUUCAAGGCUUCGUUUUUUUUACUAUACUACAUCAAAGGCAAUCUGCACAUGCCUAUCAAGAUCUUGAUUGAGAUUCUGGCAAAUUACAUUUUUUAUCCGUGAAUCAUACGACUACUGAGAGAUGUAUGAGCAUACUUGAAAUCGCUAGCAUCUUAUUUAAUGAUGAGAUCUGACUUUGAGUGAGUGGUUUUUUGCACCAUUUUAUGUUGCAGCUUGUAAUUCAUGUUAUAGACUUGUAUCUCAUAAUUGUCUCCCUCUAUAUUGUCAAGAGAUUGGAUGAUGCUCGCUUUGUUCGCAAGCUUAAUGUUACUUACAGGGGAAUGUGCAUCACGAUUCUUCUAGACUAAUUUGCUAAUGCCAUCUGUAUUUUCAUCGUCUCACAACAAAAAUGAUCUCAACAACGCAGAGUUUUGGGUAAAGUGCAUAUGUUGCCUGAUUAGUUCUCUCAAUUCCUGCAAGACGAUUUGACUUAAACUUUCAAGGCAACCAUUUGAAGUACACGUUUCAGUCAGGAUAGGCUUUUCAGUGGAUUUUAACCGGCAGUAGUCAUGCUCAAUGUCGUAGACCGCCAGUGCUGUAUAUAACGUGAAAUCGGUUAAGCUGGAGAUAACAGAUGUCAGUGCUCUAUAAAAUUUUAGAAUUCAUGUAUAGUCAUCUAUAUAUUGCUCUUCUCCCGGUACAAGCUCGUGAGUUUCAUUCAGCUUGCAGGGGCCAUACCGUACGACUAAUGUUUAAACUUCGGAGAAUCCACCAACAAAUAUCCAUAUCUAAGUCGAUUUUCUGGAUGCCUGCAUAGAUAAAUAAGAAGCUGUCACGAACAAAACGACAGGCAGGUUAUGAAGAUAUCUGGAAUUCAUGAACACUCAAGUUUGAACUUACAAUCAUCUCAUGGUCCCCCAUGAUCUCUUCAAUCAACUCUUGUAUCGGUUUAUCAGCACUGUUCGGGACAAGAGCAGCAAAAACUGGCGGUUCUAGUCCUACACAGAUGGAAAUGGAAGAUAUUGGAACGAGUCUUUUAAGCUGUAUGCAGAACAACAGGACCAGAUGGAAUUUGCUUCUGGGUACUUUCUUUGAAAUUAGAAGAGAAAACUGAAAGAACCACCACUAACGUGAAACUUGAACCGGACAUGCAAAAUGCAGAAUGCUCAGCAGAUGCUUCGCAGUUGUAGAGGGGAAAAUUUUUCCGAAUCAGGCAUACAUCCUAAAUAACCAUAGGUGAAGAUUGAGAUUGGGAUAGGAUAAUAUCAACACUAGUCAACUUGGCUAUUUGUAGACUUUCGGUACCAUGAAGUUCCUAGCUCAACAAGCCAUUUUCUUUGACAAUAAUAGCGCACAAACCAACACACGCACACAAAAGGAAUUCGUGGUAUCAGAAACAACUAGGCCAUAUUUUCACGAGAUACCUUUUGGGCUUAUAAUUUAGCUUUAACAAUGACCAUAACGAAAUUAACUUGUACAACCAAAGAUUUCUAUUACGGUGAAAAGUAGGGUGUACCACUUUCUGGAAAGGCAUCAAUAAACAUCAUCAUCUCCUCUCCUGUGAGACCAGACAAGAAGCAAAUUCGGGGAAGUGACUUUGCAAUCUGCAGGGUAUACCAAAAUGCUUAUGACGCCGGACAAUAUGCAAUAUUAAUGUACUCUCUGUUACAUGAUUGUAAGACCAGCUAGUAUGCAGCAUCUAAGAGUACGAUUCUUCAGUUGCCAAAUUAGAGGAUAGAAUUGCACUCAAAAACAUCCUUCACUUAACAUCAGCCACAAUCAUUCUUUUGAUCUGCAUUGCAAUCAGAACUUCUUAUCAAGGUACUACAGUCUGUAGUUCAGUCCUAAUUCCACUGCUAUUUGUUGUUAGUCAAGUUGGCAACUCUAGAACGAAUUAGAGGGCACCUAAACUUUCCACUUUCAGAUGCACAGAAUAUGUUUUCUUCCCCCUCCCCGUCAGUCCUUGAAGACAAUAAAAACAAGCAUCCAAGAUAAUGACUUGUGUGGACAAAAAAUAUAUGCGAGCCCCAUAUAGUAUCAUUUUUUAUGGAAAUAGCUUUCUUUCUGGCAUAGCUUCAAUCGGUCGCAGAAGGAGGAAGACUUGACAUUUAAGAGCAGAAAAUCCAACCUUUGCAGCAUCCAAAUUAGGUUGCUUAGUAUUCAUUGCCUCCCACAGACAGCAAGUAAUCAUGUCUUCAGUACAAAAAAUGACCUGCAACCAAAAUAUACAAUCAGAAAUGCAGAUGAACUUUCCUCAAUUAACCCAAAACCAUUACUUCUCAGGCAUGCAUCAAGAAGAAUCAUUUCUCUAGCCCGCCAACAUUUGCAGAAGCCAGAAAUACACUUGGCAGACCAUGGUCUUCUGAGUUCAACGGAUUCUCUAAUGACUUCACACAGCCUUAGGAAUGUAUAAAAUCUGAAACAUAAUAUCCUUUUAUCUCUUUUCCCCCCCUCUUCCCAGAAUGACAUGGUCAUUUGAGUUCAAUGGAUUCUCUAAUGACUUAGAAAAGGACUUAUAUUAUUUGAAGAUUUUAUUCGAAAAAAAAUUAUUUCUUAACUGUUUGCAAAAGCUUUCCACCAACCAAAAGCCACUUUGAAUACCUCUUCAUCUCCUUAACUUGCAUGUGGAAAAAGAAGAAAGAGAAGUGUUGAGAGAAGCUAGCUACCAAUGGAGAUACCUCUAGGAAAUCACCAUCUAACUCCUUAAGAAGUUGCUGUAUCUGCACGCACACAAACACGUGGUGGAUUGAUGAAUUAAAUUGGAUGGGUACUGUUGCAUAUAAAGAUCAUUGGGUCUAUAUGCUUCUAGAGCUGCAACACUAUCUGUACAUUGUCAAGAAGGAGCCUCCGUGAAGAGUAUUAGCCAGUGCAGGUAGUGCAAGAUUGAGUGCAGCUAAAUUUAUUGUCUCAUAGCUAAAAUAUCAUUGAUAGUGCUCAUUAAGGGAUAUAUCCUUUUCAAUUCAUAUCCCAUAUAAAUUGCCCCAUCAAACGAAAGCCAAAAUCACAAAAUUUGAACAUACUUUCCAGCUGAUGAAACCCCCAUUUUUCAGUCACGAAAUCUUGAUCUUAAACAUGCAUUUGAUUUUGUUUCUGCAUGCUAGUUUCGGCACAACUAUCGUUGCUAGUUCUCUUCUACUUGAUAAGUCAUUUCUAAUAAUCAUUUUUUUUUCUGACUAAGAUCAUAGCUGUGCUAGAACUCAGAAAAGCAGUAAGCACUAGUCAUGAGCAGUUUGUGUAGUGUUAAAAAUGGAUGCAGUUGACUGAAGAGGCGACAAAUGAAAGAACAUAACCAGAAGAAGAAACAAUACUGAAGUUGGAAAUUUGGCAUGUCAUCGUCAAAAACUAGCCAAUUAUUUAACUCAAUCAGAAGACGUAAAUGCCACCGUAAAGUACCUUCACUGCCUCCUCUAAAUCAAACCCCAGCAACAAUAAUGCCUGUGACAUAAAGUGUCAUUAGCUAAAAGUACUAGUAUAACUAAAUCUAUAGGCUUCUUGAUGCAGUAACUCGUCCAAAUUUACAUCACAGCAUUAGUGGAGAAAUCAUGAAAAGUCCAUAUCAAGUGCAUAAACUCGUAUGCAGUAGCCAAAUUAACGCAACGUUCCAAAUCCUGUACAUUUGGCCAUCUAAGAAACUUAAAAUUGGUUAUUAUGUCAUAGAAUUGUUCAAUUUAGGAGGAACAAAAUCUCAACAGGUAACUCAAACUAAUUAUCAAAUAUCUCCAAUGUAGUGUUAAAUAAAAAAUUACUAGGGAUGACCGGUGGCAACAUUUUUAUUUUUUUUUCUGACAAUUGAAGUGCUAUUCCGGUAUAUCUGGAUUUGCAUUAAUAGAUUCUUGUCAAUACACGCAUUCCUUAAAUUAGACAGCAUCUAUUGAAAAUCCAUUCACGUUACCUUUUUCUUGUUUUCUUCCUUAAUACAAAACAUUUGCUUAGUAUGCAAGGACUAACUAGAACUUACAGGUGGACCAUAUCUUGGAUCUUCAGCAUUUAGAGGAACAAAUUUGGAGUCUUCAUCUACUAACUCAGACGGAAGCCCUGUUAAACAUUAAGAGUUAGGACAUCAGAGUUCAUAAACAGCCAAAAAUUAAGAGAAGCAGUCGAUGUUCUCAACGGAAGUAAAGAAGAAGAUCAUAUAUGCAUACCCUCAGAAGAUGCUCUAAGCUUGAGGCAGUGGUUAAGCUUCAAACAAGUAAAGGGACCUCUACAUGAAACAAAAGCUGGAAUGCAAAAGUUCACAUGCGGGUUUGAUGAUGGAAAUGAUAGUCUACAAGAGUUUAACUCAACUUUGUAGCAGAAGCUUCGAUGGGUGGUGAUCAGACGAGAAGCCAUGAAGGAAUCAAUGAAUAGACAGAUAAUCUCAUCAGUUCUGUUUCUCUAGUUUCCUUUUAUCCUUUCACUAAACAUUAUCUAUUUCUUUUCUUGAUUCUUUUUUAUAUGGGUUUAAGUUGGUAGGAGGCGUACUCAAAUGAGAAAUACAGUGAAAUUGUAUUUUAAAAAUAUGGGAAAAACUAGUCAGAAACUUGUUUUUUUUUUUCAUCAAAUUAAGGCAAGUAAAAUCAACUCCUUAAAACUCCUCAAUGGCAUUUGAUAACUGAAGUUUCAGUCUCUUCCAAAACUAGGAUUUUAAGAUGUUGGUAUUUUAGAUAUGUUAAGUUUGACAUAUUGGGAUUUUAAAAAUUCAAUUUUGCUUAAAUUUUGAUUUUUUGCGUCUUAGUUUUGCUAUUGAAUCAAUCAUAUUCAUUGGCGAUCAUUUUCAGGUUGAAAAAAACAAUAUUGUAUAGAGCGAUCAUUACAACAUAGUACUUAAUUAGUGGUUUUAACUUUUAAACAACGAAUGUAUAAUUAUUAGGGAUAAUUUCGGAAACCUUUCUUGAGGUUUCUGACAAUUUCAGGUAGAUUUUCAUGGUGGUGUAAUUGAUGAGUGGAAUAGACUGCGAGGUUAUAGGUAAGUACGAGAGAAUCAUAAAAGUUAGAAAAAAAGGAAGGGAGGAAAAAAAAAGAGACCGCUGUUAAUUAAAAUAGGGUUGGGGAUUAUGACGGUUUGUUGCAGGUUUUUACAUAUAUAUUUUACUUUUGAUUUGGUUUUUGUAUCUCACAUAUGUGGUAAAUUAUCUAUUAAGUAGAGGAUAUUGUAGUCAUUUUAUUGAAUCUAAUUAGGUUAGUGUAAUUUUCUAAAAUUGGGGGAGCUAGGUGAAAUUGUCAGAAACCUCAAGGGAGGUUUCUGCAAUUAUCCCUAAUUAUUAAAGUUGAAUAACCCUUUGGCCUUUUGCCAUUGUCUGUCGUCAGUUAACCCCUGAUUAAAGCAAACCCAAAAGUUUAUGAAUCCAAGAAUGCUGACGAUAAGCAAUUAGUAAAAGAAUGGUAGAAAAGUCAGCUGGUUAAAUCGAAUGCCGCUGCGGACCUCAUGCUCAUCUAACCCAAUUCUGGAUAAAGCUUGCCAAAUACUAUGCAGCUUUUCGUCUAGGCCUAUUGGUUAGUAAUUCGUCCCUCUUCUCCUUCUUUUUCUUGUCUAGUUCCUCUAGAAGAAUAGUUGUCUGAUUUUGUUGUCUUUCUUGCUUGAAUUGAGGUUGGCGAGAGCAGUUGGGAGAUGGGUUCUCUAUAGUUUCGUGAUUGGUGGUUUAAAUUGUUUGAAGGAAUGAGCUAAAGAUUGCAUUUUGACAAUUGGGCUUUUCUUAAUUCUGAUUAUAAUGUUCUCUGUAAUUUCUUGAUUGAUGUUUUGAAUAGAUUGAAGGAAUGAGCUAAUGAUUUUUGACAGUUGGGGGAUUUUCUUGUAUUCCGAUUAUAUAUUGAUGAAGUAGAAUUUUUUGAGUAGUUUCUUGAAAUUUCCUGUAUUUCGCCCUUGAUUUAUUGUUCUCCAAGAAUGUGCUUUCACUGUUUUUUCGAGGUCAGCAUUUGGUUCUUUACCAUAUUGUUUCGGGGGGGAGUAAUUGGCUUCUUAAUAUGCUGAAUACCUACAGUGAAUAACCAAUUAAGGUUGAUGAAGUAGCAUUUAACAUCUGUAUAGGAAUUUUAGCAAAUAAUCAUGUUUAUAUACAUUUGUCAGUUUCAUUCAGAUAUAAAGAGAGAUUUGGAUAAGAUGUACUAGCAGAACUAGAGGACCUGUCUGGUUGGGCCAUGUUUCUUGUGAAAGUUUUCAGCUUUGUAGAAUUCUUUCGAAAGGAGGUUUAGCUUGUACUUGAGAAGUAGUUUGAGAUAAUUAAUUUCAAAAGACUCAAUUUUUAAAAUGUGGCACAGUAAUUGUUCCUCUUGAUAUAAAAUCAGGAAACAUCGUUUCAGUUUAGACAUUGUAAAGCAUGUAGCACAACCAAUGUCAGUGGCCUGGCCUUCAUGCUUAUCCUUUUUCUUCUGAAACUACUAGUGUUGCAUCAUAAAACCUGACAUCAAUUUUAUAUCACCAAUUUUAAGUUCUGAAGGAAAUUCUUUGUGAUUGGUGCCAUCUAAGCUCUUCUCUUCAAUUAGUUUGCAGGUUUUGCACAUCAGAUUGUAAUUUGUGGUGCAUGAUCUAUGUUCAAGUAAGAUAUCACUACAAUCCUGUGAUCUUCAUAGGUUUCCCUUAUAUUACUCUUUUCCCCACUUCAUUAUAGUUCUGUUAUGUACCCAGAGGGGGUACUGGUAUACUAGAGAGGCUUGCUUGUCAUCGCUUAAGGUAUUAUUGCCUGUUUCCUGGCUGAGAAUCUGAUUAUCCAAUUAGGAGCAGCUAGUAAUUUACUCCUGCUUUUCCUAGAAAAUACUCAAGAAUCCAUCUUUUACUUCAGAUUAUAGUGCUGCUUAUAUUUAAGAGGGAAGAUAAAGCCUUUUUAUGAGGUUGGUCUAAAUUGGUAUAUCAUCAGAAGGAAAUAGGAAGAAGUGGGAAGGGUCUAGAAAUUCUUCAACAGAGAAAUACUGAGUGGUUGGUAACUAUAUUGUUAUAGCAAUAAAUUAGUUGCAAUUUACCCUAUUAGUGGCCUUUGAUUACUAUUCGUCUCAUGCCUCUUUCAUUGAAAUCUCAAGAAGCUUUCCUUGAAAUCCAUUGGCUCAUCAGCAGCUUCUGGUACAUAACUAUUAUUGCAUAUGUGAAAGGUCCUUAAAACCUGAAAUGGUAGAAAGAAACAUCGAAUUUGCAUCUUCUACAUUCUUAACCUUUUAUAGGUGGUUACCAAUAUCUCUAGGAACAACCAUAGCUGUUCCAAUUAGAAUUAGAGUUGGCAAUAUCUCAGUAAGUCUGGAGCCCUUCCAAUCAUAUAUUUACAUAUAGGCACCUCAAUACACUCGUCAAUGCCAUAUUUGUAAAAUUGUUGGAAGUUGAGACGUGUACUUUUUUUAUUUUUUGGGGGUGGGGGUGUUGAUUUAAGUGAUAAAAAAAAAUUUAAUUUAAGCACAGUAGAUUCGCCCUCACCCUCUGAGUCACAUGACCAAUUCUUCUUGUGAUUCUCGCUGUAUCCAUGCCAUCCAAAUAUCACAGCAGAUUGAAUUGUAAAACAUCCUCAGCAGACUUUUAAAUGUGUUCAUGUCUUAUAGGGACUGGAUAAGUAGCACUUUCAAAUUAUGCAUGCAUAUAGUAGUAGAGGAGUAAAUAAAGAUCAGCUUUAAUUCAUUAUGGCUUAUCUUUUAAAUAAAACUCCAUUGUUGCAUGCUUGAAAACUGUUGCUCAUUUGAAACAAGAAUUACAAGUGGGUUAUGUGACAAGCUAUUGAUGAAUAGUCCAUGACAAAUCUGUAUUUUAUCUGAAAGUUUCUCUGAUUGGUAUGCGAUGGGACCUCUCUUUCUACAAAAUGGAACUCACUUCUGUCCUCUAAAACCAUCAGUGAUGGAGAACAAUUUGCAUUCAAGGAGAUGCAGGAGUUUUCUACAGCGGAUGGGUUCGUGGAUGUAAGUGAGUGCUUGGCCGAGAUGAUAAAAUAUGUUGCAAAUGAACCCUCUGUGGGACUUUUCUACAUUCAGCAACAUACACGGAAUGCAGCACCAAACCUUAGUAAUCUCAAGAACAAUGUCACUGAGAGAUCUCGUGAGAUGACGUUGCAUGCAGAAGAUUCAGAAGAUUCUAUUUCCAUUAUAAGGUCAAUGAGAGAAUGCGGCUGUCCCAUUGCUGAUGAGAUGAUUAAAGACAUUAAAAAUUCUCUAGCUAUCAUGUCAGCCAAACAUCCAAAAAGAGGAUUAAUAAAUAGCUCAGAUUCAGCUUUUCGGUUGGGGAGAACAAGAUCUUGGGGACCAGUUGCCUGGGGUCGGAAAUCAAGUUCACCACAGCAAGAUGGUGAUAAAGGUGCUAGUUAUCUGUCAAAUGUCUUAAAGUCUGCAAAGCUCAAGGCUAGCAAUUUGAAAUGGCCUCAGGUUGAAUCCUCCGAAGAAUCAAGAGAAAUCAAAGAUGAGAAAUCAAUUUCAUAUCUUGAUCCCUCGUUGUCAGAUAGAGGUGCUAGUAUCUCUUCUGGUAUGCCUGAGGCUGAGGCAGUUGAAUUGCCAUUGUCAAGUGAGAUAGCUGAGGAGCCACAAGAAGUGCCAGUUGACAGAAGCGUGUGUGACGAUGAUCUGAUUUCCUUGGCUGUGAAAUAUGAAGAAUUCAAGGCUGAUAGAGAAGCUAAGCUGGAGGAAUGGCUAGGAGAGAUGAAGAAUUAUACAAGUAAUUAAGAACAAACACGUGCAGUGCAGACAACCUAUAAAUGCCUGCCUUGCUUUUGGGGCGUCUUUGCUACAUUGAAGGGGUUGAAAGGAUACUUUAGAAUGUAAGAUUGUUUUGACUUGUUUUGACGUUCUUUCAAAUUCUGCUGUAGCGUAUUUGUUUCUCGCACACUUUCUCAUUGUAUCAAAAGGCUUGUGGACAUACAUAAAGAGAAAAGGUAGCAUAGUUUAAACAAGAGAUAGGAGUUGAGAGGGUCAGAUUUUCUCCUGUGUUUUACGCAUACUGGAAAUAAAAGAACUAUGAGUUUCUUGCAGGAUCUUAUUUAGAGGCAAAGAAGGGGAGACUGUUAUGCAUCACAUAUCUGUAUUGAGAUGAUCCUAUUUGGUGGGUCUCCAACCCUUCGUUUUCUUUUGGAGCCAAACCGAUAAGGUAUAUCUCCAGUGCCCUUAUUUUCUUCAGCAAAAGUACUGGAGAUUGAUUGCUUGGGGGACUAUGAGGAAUAAUUUAGCCUAAGAAGGUCAACGAUGUAGUUAAAACAUGCUUUUUCCGGUUUGCCAGAUACAUUUUGCGUUAACAAAAGAAUAAAUUAUUUGUCAUUUCUGUCCUCUGUACACUUGUUUACAGGAAAAAAAAAUGAAAAGAAUAUAAAAAAAAAAAUCUGCCUCGAGACUUUCCCAACACAGUAACACGUGUUAGCUGAAGAGGCAAUGCAAAACCCAACCCACAGGCAUUGAGCAGGAUGAUCGGAAGCAGAUUGCUCGAUUAGUUUUCCAGCUUGCACAGCAAUAUCGUGGAUGAAAUGCAAGCUGAAAUACAUCCCAGAGCACACACUUCAACCUUCAAAGAAUGCACCAAGGCAGCUCCAUGGAACAGGACGAAAAGAAACAAAAGCUGCCUUGUGAACUCUUCUUGAUUAAUGACCACUGAUAGCAGUAUUUGAGCUCUAAACAUGUCAAAAAGGGGGUAUAGGCGUUUGCAUCCCAAAGCCAUCAGGAAGUGAAAGAAAAUGACUCAGCCCCAGGCAGAAUAUUCACAGCGUUUGGGUUCCUGUAGAAAAAGCACAUUCAAAUUAUACAGGAGAACAUAGUUUACUUCAUGAUACAGAGGAAACAUCAGAUUGAAUAAAAACCAGUGUCAAAAGAAAUUCUUACUCGCUGUAAAUAGGGAAGAUGUAGGUAGGAGAAAAGAAACAUGUAAUACAGUAACCAUGAAAAUCUUCUUUCAACUACUUUCAACUUGCAUCAAAUCUCAACCUGCAAAACAGUAUUGAAACAAUCAGCAAAAACAGAUCAAGUUCACAGCAGGAAAAAAGGACGUACUGAUAAAGAAUUACCAUUGAAGGAAGACCAUUUUUUAUGUUACUCUCUGCUUCCACAAUUACCCCUGUCAAUCACCAACUACCAGAGUUUGUGCUCGGCGGUGGAGCAAAUCCAAAAAUGUUAUUUUCAUAUAUGUUUUCGAGAGUUGAGCUGCUGAAAUUGGUUACUAAAUUUUCCCCAGCAUCCAAACUGAGCGUAGAGGAACCAGUGAUACUUUCCACAAAUAUAGAUCCAACAUCUGAAUUGGAAGCAUGGAUAAAUGCACCAUCACUGUUUAAUAUUGUACCUCCAAUGUUUGAUAUUGGGGGUAGGUCAGAUUCCAUGUAGCCCACUGAUCUAGCGACCAUAUUGGCAUCUGGAGGGAAUGUAACACUAGCACUACCUUCCACAAAAGGAUAGGUAAAAGUAGAACUGUCUUCAACUUUAACUUCAACUAGUGUGCUUGGGACAGAUGCAGAGCUAACACAAUUGCUCGAAACACUAGCACUGUUGCCCAGAUUUUGAGUAAUAAAGCCAUUACCAGUGGCCAAUGAUUUAGAGCCCACAUCAAGAUUUGCUGGAUCGUUAGAGCUGUUGCUGCUGUCAUCUGCUUUAGCUCUACCAAAUGUAUUCAGCAGGCCAGCCCCAUUGUUCUUACUCAGUAUUUUAGCUUUCCUGAAAAGUUUCCAACAAGGGGAAGUUCUUUCAGAGUCAUGAAUUAUAAAUGUUGUAGAACAUUAAGUGUUGAAAACACCAAUUAAAUUGUAAAUCUUAUGCUCAUACCGAACCAUCCUCUGUUUCAAAGAGGCUGCUUUCAACUUUGAAGUACCUUUAGGGGAAAAUAAACAGAAAACAUCAGUCAUUGUGGUGCAGUUUAAGUGUAUAAACUGCAAUAGGCGAAAACUUUCAGUCCAUGAGAUAUCCAUGCAAGAAUUGUUAACCCACCUGGUUUUGGGGUCAAUGAGCUCGAUACAGGCUUACGAUUGCCCCUCUCAGCCUUAAUUGAAGCAAUAAUAGAAUCUGCAUAUGGUCCCAGACCUUUCCUUCCAACCAAUUUAACACCAAACUUCCCACAAAGAUGAUGCAACCUCAGUUCGUCACCUCCUCUUACUUCUCUGAGUUCUAGUGCUUGUCGCCUGCUCAAUAAUGUGUAAACAUGAAGCUCCUGUUGCUGAUUGAAAUGGGACUGAAGCUGCUGAAAGAGUAGCUUAUUAGUGUGUGGUUGAUCUGGUCUAAGCCCUUCAUGACUUCUCUUUCCUGGGGGGCUGAAUGUCACCCUUAAGAUUGCAGUUGAUUUAAAAUCAGAUUUAUUUCUGCCAAAAAUUACCGAAAAGCUUCCAAAUUCCAAAUCUGGCUCCCUGAAUAGAUCUGCAAGGAGAGAAGCACAGGAAUGUGCAUCCUUUGGUGGGUUUUUCUCAACUUUUGACCUCGAGGCUCUAACACUCACAGAAUGAGAAAUAUUUGCAGCCUCUCUAAAUCCACUAAGAAGGGCUCCAUGCAUAGUUGCUGGAUAGCGUCUAUUGGUGGCCUCACCUGCAAAGAAAAGUCUACCAUCUCCUACACUUUCUGCCAGAAUAUCAUAGUCAUCUCCUGAUGCGCCUACGGCAACAUUGGAAUAGGAACCUAAGCUGAAGGGAUCAGCGCCCCAUCUGGUACAGACGGUUUGGAUUGGUUCUGGAACCUCAACUCCUUGGGGCUCAUAUAUGCCUGGACGCAAUAAUCCAAAAUGGAAGUGCUUUUAACUACAUCAGCUUUUCAAGGCAUGUACACCAGUAAAUAUAUGUACAAGUACAUGUAAACUGGGUGUGUCCUGAUAUUAGGCAAUAAAAAAAAUGAUUUACCUUUAAGAAUUUGAAGAACCUUUGUCACAGCAUCAGUUGGAGGCAUAGUCUCAAACUUGUGUGCAGCUUCUCCUGCCACUAAAGCAAUCAAGAGGGCACCACCAGCUACAGUUGCAUAGCUAUAGAAUAAAAAAAAUUCACCCCUAUUGCUAGAGUCAUCAGAGAGAUGUCCGAAGGUAUCGAGAUCAGUUCCCCAGAACACAUGAGGAAAAAGCAUUGCAACUUUAUUCAACAAUCCAAAACCCAACCGCUUUAUGCUAUCCAGCUUCCUUUGAGGCAACUCAGGUAUAAACUUGAUAGAACUAUUCUUCAAAACUCCAAGGGGCACAGUGCAUAGAGCCAUAUCGCCCUCAUAAACAUGGCCACCAGCAACAACCUGAACUCCCUCACUACCAUAACGUAUGGUAUUCACAGUUUUUUCAUAAAGUAUCGGAACAUUCUCAACCAAUGCCUGAACCAGUUUUCCAGUUCCUCCCGGCAGGAAGCAAUGGUCACCUCCCAUGUCAUAAGGGUCAUCUUGGUCCCAGAAUGCAAGAGAAAGCAUAGAAAGCAAACCUGCAUUUGCAUAUUCAAGAUUUGCAAGAUGCCAAUUAAACAAGCUCAGCUCUUCUUCAGUAACUGCAUCCCCAUAAACCUGCCGAAAGGUCUCCAAAGCCGCACCAAGAGAAACAUCCUGAGAAACUUCCCCCAUUAAUUGCCUAAGCUUGCCAGCUUUAUCCAAGAGCCGAUUAAAGGCCAUCUCCACCUUUUGAUCUAAAUCUGCAUCCACCGGUUUUCCAUCCACUCUAUAAAGCGGACACUUGUCUCUGAUCUUAUGAAGCGUGUAUGACAGCUGGCGCGCCAAGAUCCCAAGUGGGUUCCCAAGUGUGCCUGUCAGCACACUGCCCCCUAAAUCUGCAGCGGCAGUCCUAUUCCCGCCCUCCAUCUUCUUCGUGUAUACCCUCCCACCUGCACGUUUCCUCCCCUCCAAAAUAGUAACCUUAAAACCAAAUGACAACAAUUGCCUAGCUGCAGCCAACCCUGCUAGACCUGCCCCUAUCACAAUUACACUCGGCUUACUAGGCUCAGCAGGAAUCCUCUCCUUAACAGCCGGUGCAACCCCAAAAUUAAUGUAACCAUGCGAAACCAGGUAAUCAUAAGACGUAUCCAAUAGCCUUUUACAGUGAUCCGGUAUAAUGUCCAAAAACAUUUCUUUCGACACCCAUCUCGAUACAUCUUCCCGCCAUUUCGUGAUAAUAUGAUUCCUAACUAAAAUAUAAUUGACCUGCUCAAUGCCACCCACUACAGAAACAACCCCAGCAUCAAUUUCCUCAUCAGUCAAGGAAUCAGCCGGGAAACCAGCUGUCAACGCAAUCAAUGCCUCUGCCGUAGCCUCUUUAUUAAUCACAAUGAUCUCAUCGGAUACAUCAGAAGUACCAAGGUUUUGGUUUCCCAGUGUUGCUGAACUAGUAUGACCAUUGCUGCUAAAGUCAUAAUUUGAAUGAUUCAACAAUGAGGACGUUGGUAAGUUAUAUACCUGGUUGACAGACGGCGUCGUGUUGCGUGGUCGGCCUCGGCGACGCUUGCGAGGGAUAGAAAGGGAAAAGAAGUGAUUGGGAACUGAAUUGUUAGGGUCAGAAAUUGAGAUAGAAUCGCUGUUGGAAAAAUGGACAUUAGGGAUUUGUGUGGAAGUAGAAGCAAAGUUCGGGUUAGGGUUUGAAGGGGGUAAACGAAUGGUGAAUUGAAGGGGAUUAUUGUCGUUAAUGUUAAUAUAUGGGUUGUAUUGUUGAGGAGAGUUUUGAUUUGAGAAAUCCAUAGUAUUGCUUUUUCUUUAAAAUUUUGUGAACUUCGGAGAUGAAGGCUAGAGUGUAGAAUGAUGCUCCGGUGAUAUAACAGGAGGCGGAAGACGGAGGAAGGAGGAGAAAGAAAGCCGUCGGCUAGCAAGAGCACUGUGGAGACGGUAGUGCAAUUGGGUUCUUUGUUUUGCAGACGGGUCGGGGGUCGGGCUAGGCCGUCUGUUUACUUUUAUGAAAUUUUAAAAAAGACACCGGUUAUAUCUUUUCUAUUUAAUCUAACCUACCUUCACUUAUAUUUAUUUUUUUUUCCUAAUUAAUUUUAUAUUUUUUAAAAUAUAAUACUUGAAAUAUCUAUAUAAACCAUCUUUUUAUUUAUCUUUGUCGGGUACUUUUUUUGCAAUUUUGGUAGCUCAGAGCAAUUGAAGACACCUAAUGGAGUUGAGUGGUAAUUUUUCAUCAAAAGUGCUCCAAUUUCAAACAAUUUGAGAGAUAGAUGUCAAAAUUGAACCUGUUUUUCCUAUGGAAAGUUUCGAGUUUAUUGUCUCAUAGGUAGUAGUCUAAUAGAGGCAUAGUGAAGCGAUGUACAAAUAUGCGUAUAACAGUUAGAAAUCUAAAUUAAUUUAGAUCCAAAAGUUAUACUUUAAAUUUAGAAACCAUACACCAUAUUCAGACGAAAUGGUUGCUUAGAUUGCAUUAAGCCUCCCUAAAUUCCAAAUUUAAACUAAAAUUGUUUCGAUAAAAUAAGAAAUAGCAUGUGUUGGACGAACCUCUACAAGUGCUACAAAAAGAGAUUUAAUUUUGCUGUAUUAUGUAACAUCAUGUUUAGACUUGUAAUUAUAAUGGACUAGUUUUAGGCUGCUCGGAACCCAGAAAAAGAAAAAGAGUUUUUUUUUUUGAAUAUAUAAGAUAUAAAUUUCUUAAUAACUAGUAUCAAAUUAAAAUGAUGGACUAGUUUGUAAAUCAAGCAUUAGAAAUGUGGAUAUUAAGAAAGGAUAUACAUAAUAAUAUAUUUUUUUCCAAGGUUUUAGACUACCAUCAUUGUAAUAUAUUGUAUGUUUUUAAAUAGUAUAAAAAUUAAAAAAGUUAGACAGCAUUUUGUUAUUAUUUUUUUGUUUUCAUCAUUUAAUCAAUUACUACAUUGCGUAUGAGUAAAAAUUACGUCUUUAAGUUUAAUCCUAUCAACAAGCCUAGUUGCCUUUACUGUAGUUUAUACAUGACGCAUGCACAAAAGAGAAAAAAUCGAAAUUGCCAAUCUCAUGUAUAUUGACGUAGUAGUAAUUUAAUCAUAAUAGAAUUUUAUUACCAAAUUUGUCAUGACUAAAUUGACACAUCUCAAAAGUUUAGGGGUCAUAGUUAAUAUUCUAAGGCAAUUAUCUUUUUCAUUUUUAUUUCAAGUUUGAACAGGUUAAUGACGUCACCCACGUGACUCCGCCGCUUUGUCAUGUUAUCAUUAGAAGAAAAGUCGUAGACCCAUAUUGAGUUAAUAUUACGACUCUUUUUUAUUUUUAUUUUUUGCCCCCUGCAACGUCCUUUUCUAUUUAUUUUUUGUUUUUUGUUUUUUUAUUUUUAACCAGCUUUGAAUCCUCUGAUCUCAUAUCAUAUUUUGAACAAAGGUAAUAAUAAUAUAUAUUGUUAAUGAUUCGAAUUUAAUUUAUCCGAUUCGUUUUCUUCAUCAGAAAGUUUACAGAUCCGAAUCAUUUCCUCUCUUUCCUGACAGCAUUUUCUCCUCCUUCUUUCACACACUCACGCACAAACGCAAGUACAUGUCUUCUUCUACGUUAAUUAAUCCAGUAUUUACUUCAAUGACGAUUUGGAUGUAAUUAAUCUGAAUUUUGGCAAUUUUGUUUUUCAGCCCGAAUUUUCAGUAAUUGGAGCUGGUGACUAAGCUGAUUGGAUUCCGGAUGGGGAUUUUCGACGGGUUACCGAUUUCCCGAGACAAAGCCGUGAGUUUGCAUCUUCUUGUCUAAAAUUAGACUUUUUUGAAUUAUCAGUAAAACGUUAGUGUUGAGACCUUUGACUCAAUUUGUAUUUCUUUUUAUUGUUUAAGAUUGCAGCCUUUCAUUUUUGCUUAUUGUUGUGUUUAAUAACCCACAUGCGUAAAGUAUUUGAAGAUUUUAGUUGCGAAGUAUUGUAAUCGACGAGAGAAAAUGGGGUUAUUAUGUAGUUGGAUGAUUUGGUUAUUCUUGAACAUGACCUAAAUUGGAGCAAGGAUUUUCUGCCGCCGGCAUGAAUUCCUUUGGGUGAUGAAUUUUCUGGUCGAGAGCUCUACUUUGUAAAUACUACUCAAAAUUCAACAUGAAGUUGGGCUUGUAACUAGACCCAUUGAUUCAGAGCUUGUUGGAAAUAUCAACAUGAGAGAAUUAGUAUUUCUGGUUGAUCCUGCACAUUCUUUCUGAUUUUGCUUCAUUCCAAAUGCAGUAUUUGAGGGAGGAACUUGCGAGAAUAGAUGAGAGCUGGGCUGCUGCACGUUUUGAUUCUUUACCUCACGUUGUACAUAUUUUAACAUCCAAAGAUCGUGAUGGUGAAGCACAGCUUUUGAAGGAGCAGAGUGAUAUCAUUGAAGAAGUUGUAGAUGAAGUAGUGCAUGCUUAUCAUGGUGGCUUCAACAAAGCUAUCCAAAAUUAUUCUCAGGUUGCUAAUUAUUUCUUCUUUUUCUUGUUUACCUUUCUUGCCGCCCUUUGAUUAAAGUUUUCAACUUUUCUUUAUGUUAGUUAUCUUUGUCAUGUAUAAAUCUUAUUCCAAGUUGAUUGAUGUAAUGCCAAGAUUCGAGAUGAUGCUAGUAAUCGGCAUAUUUAUGUAUCAGUAUCGUCGUCAACUUUCUUGCGUAAAAGAAGGAUCUGUUAUAUACUGAUACGACAUUUAGGUAGACUGUAAUUGUAGUAUAGUAAAGAGGUUAUAUAGCAUAUUCUGAUUGUACAUGUGCACUGUAUAUCUUCACUAUUCUGUUUUAGAGAGAGAGAGAGAGUGGUUGGAGAAGGUAAGAGAUGGAAGGACAACAUUAGGGCAUAUGUCUUCGAAAUCAGCUACUUUGCUUAACUAUAAAACAACCACAUUGAGUAUUAUCUUUCAGAGCUGGGUGAAGGAUCUAUAGUCUAUGACCUACUGUUAUUUUCUUCCUUAUAAAGCUAAUUGUGUUGCUAUAGGAUGUCUACUUGUUUUAGUUGGCAGCAUACUACUGUUUUAAUUUUUUUUUACUUUUGAUAGAUUCAGGAAGAGUGUCUCGCUAAUAUAUAUUACUUUCUUGCCAUUUUUAACGCUCGAGUUGUUAUCCUUAGUGGAGGAGUUUAUGUUUUUCCUGGUUGUGGUGCAUUUUUUUUCUUUUUAGUAUUAGUGGUAAUUAUCUAUUAGAACCUCCCUAUUUUUGCUUUUGCCGCCGGGAAGUAGAGCAUUUAACCCUUCUUAAUAUUUCAAGUUUGUAUUAGCUCAACUAUUUUCCUCCAGAUUUUGCGGUUAUUCAGUGAAUCUGCUCAGAGUAUUGCUGUACUAAAGGGUGAUUUGGGUGACGCAAAGAAGCUUCUUGGCGCUCAAAACAAGCAGUUGCAUCAGUUAUGGUAUCGUUCGGUUACAUUGCGGCAUAUUAUAUCAUUGUUGGAUCAACUGGAGGGCAUAGCUAAGGUAUGUCAAUUGUUGUUUUCAUCCUCAUUCAUGCAUGGUUUGCCUUGCGGUACUCUUCCUUGCUGUCCAUAAAAGUGUUGUUCAAAUUGGUAUUUCUACAAAAAAAUAGAGUCAAUCAGAAGUUAUUAUUUGAGCUCAAGAUCAAAAGUAAUAUAAAGAAUGCACAAGUAUGUGUAAGGAGAAUCUUAUAGACCAUUUUAGUAAGUACAACAAAAAAUAGUAGGAAGGUCAUCUCUAUUAAAUGCUGAUACAUAUUCUGGUAAGAAUUAUGUUUAUGUUUUCAUGUUCUUUGAACUCUGAAGGAUGAAAGCAUUGGGCAUCACAUCAAGCAAUAAAGGUUAGAAAGUGACCGCAGAGAUAAAUUUAAAGUUCCAGUAACAAAAAAGAAUCACUGAAGGCAGAAUAGAAUAAAAAAUUUGGAAAAUUAUAUCUUGGAAAAUUUGGAGAUGUCUCUUUUACUUUCCUUCUGGGUGGGAUAUACAAGUCUUUAGCUUCUCUGUUAGUUUUUCUGACAUGUUGGGUUGUACAAUCAUCUAAUUUCUGUCUUCCAAUUGAAUAUCAGAAACUUAUUUUGGUUCUUGGCUGCUUGGAGCAAGUUAUUGGUGAUCUAUGAUUUUGCUAGUAUCCUUGCUAAUUCAAACUCGGUGAUCUAAAAGCUUGUACUUUCUUGAAUUUACCUUUUUAAAUAUUUUUUACUGUGUUUAUUUCAUUUAUUUAAUUUGUAGAAAUUUACAUCUACAUUGGAGAUUAAUCUGCUAAAGUGGCGCAUAAUUUGUUUUAGCACUUCCUUCCAUCAUUAUACAAGUUGACCAAUAUACUGAAAGAAACAUUUGUGGAAGCCGUGAUUCUUUUCAGCAUCCUUUCUCUUCAUUGUAGAUAAUUGUUCUAAACACCUAGCAUUUGUCGUCUUAUGAUUUAUUUGUCUUGGUUUUCUCUUCCUCAUUAUGGCUUAGGUUCCAGCUCGUAUUGAGAAGCUCAUUGCUGAUAAGCAGUUCUAUGCUGCAGUGCAGUUACAUGUUCAAUCUACAUUAAUGCUGGAGAGAGAGGGCCUUCAGACGGUUGGUUUGGUUGAUGCAUUCUUUAAUAUUUUGUUACUUUCCUCUGCUGCUUUUGAUUUUUAAUGUAAAUAAGUACGAAUCCAUGUUCUGAUUUUUCUAGCUUAUGAAGUAUGGUCAUAAAAUAAUUUCACAUCUUAUGUCUUUAAAUAUGGGGCAGUUACUUCUGAGAACUGGAGUUUUAAAUUAUUGACUUACUGUGUUGAUAGAUUGUUUUCUGGUUAUGUUGAAUUGUGAAAAUAUUCACAUUUAGGUUAGGGUUUUAGAAGUUCACCUGGAUAUUGAACUCAGCUGUCAAUGUGAAGCCACAAAUAAGGUCUGACUCCAUGAGUUCUUAGCUGUGUGGUGACUAUGGUCAAUUUGAAGGAUCUUUGGCUUAUUUCCCCCUUGUGCUAUCUUUUAUGCGCUUUAAUUAUGUGAAAUUUUAGUUACAGAAUUUGAAUGGUUGAGCACACUAAUUCAUAAGGUUUCAUUUAACUAAGAACUUCAGGACAUUAAAGAUGUCUGAUCUGUUUAAUGGGAUGAUAUUGUGGGAUGCCUUUGAUCGCUGUUAUUGAAUUUUACUCUACAGCACUACAUUGUGGUAAAGCCAUUUAAUUGGUUCAUUAUUUUUUUGGGUCAUUGGAAUGAAAUUGCUAACCCAUCCAACUAAUAUAAACUAGAGUGGAGUUAAAUAUUGCGAAUCAAAGGCAAGCAGAUGUGUGAAAUUGGACUCCCGAUUCAACAUCAGCAAGCAUGUGAUUUCCAGGCUCCAUAGCAAGUGACACCAACAUAUUUUUACCAUAAGAAUUAGUAUAUUAGAAUGCUUCAUUUGUGAGAUGACCCUUGUGUGAUCUGAAUAGCACAGGCCUGUGAGACAAACAUUAUAAACGCUCAAGGACAUGAUGAGAACUUAAAUAUUUUGAUUGGAAAAUCAUCAAAUUUUUUCUUAGAAAAAGGGUCGAUAUUGAAUCCUGUGUCAAAAUCAAUACUAAGAGUAAUCAAAAUACUAAGAUUGGUAAUAACAAUUAUCAAAUAAUUGAUAAUAUUGAUAAAAAAGGCCCUUUUAUCUUCUGCUUCCGCAAAAUCCCAAAAUAAACUCGCCAAGUCCAAAAAAAGUACAUAUGAAAUUGAGCACAAUUUUGCAAAGAAAUAGCCCACUUGUUUCUCAAGAAGAGUUGGGAAACAUGCUCAAUAUCAUUUGAUUGAGUGGUUGACCCAGCCCCUUGUUGUUUGAAGAAACCCUGACUUUUCUUAGAGUUCAACCUUAUGAAAAGCUGUCAAAUGGUUGUGGCUGCCAUGUUGCAUACGCUUUCAGUCCAUCCCUCUCUAGACAAGUUAAGUCCAUGAUAAAAUAGAAACUGUUUACAUCCACCUGUGGUUGACUUCAUCUUAAUGUACUCGUACGCUCAAGUAUCUCAAUAUGCAGUCUUAAAGCACUUGAUAGGAUAUUAAAUUUAAGGACUUUAUUUACUGGUUGAAGUUAAUGCAGCUCUCAGUUUGGUCACAUAAAUCUCUUAGGUUGUUCCAUAAUGAAUUCCAGAUUAAGCUAAAUAUAUAGUAGUAUGUGCAUACAGAAUGUGUGCACAUUCUCUUACAUGACAAGCAGGCAACUUGGUUCCAGGUUUUUUAGGGUUCACUAGAUAUCUACUGCAGUGCCUUUCUCAUUUGGCCUGGUAGACCAAUGUCUUAAAUGAAUAGCUAUUUGAUGUUUGUAAUCAUUGCUCUAAAUUUUGGUUCCCUUCUCCCUCGUCCUCCUUCUCUUCCCCCCCCCCCCCAAAAAAAAGGAUUUGAUUUAUUUGAUGAUGCUUGUAGUCGCAUCUAAACUGCAUGCCCUUUGAUGUUCUCAGGUUGGUGCUCUACAAGAUGUCAGAUCUGAGUUGACGAAAUUGCGAGGAAUUCUUUUCUAUAAAGUAUUGGAGGAUAUGCAUGACCAUCUUUAUAACAAGGGUGGAUACAGGUAAUGUUUCUUAUCCCUAUUUGAUCAUAUAUGUUUAUUAAGUGUCUUCUUGUGGAUUUUAAAUAUUGACUUUCCUGCUUUUGCAUUUCUGUGAAGUCCUUAUUUAUCCAUGUAAUUUGCAAUAUGAGGUAAAUUUGGAAUGUGAUGUCAGAAUAUUUCAGGGUUGUCAGCUUGUGACACAUUGCCUUGUUUUCCAAGGGAAAGUCUGCUUAGACUGAGUCUGACACCCACUGCCCUUUUGGUCAGGGAAAUGGGAGUGGUUUACAACAGUUAAAUGUGUAACUUUUUUGCAUGUUUUGCGUCAAGUCAAUCAAAGUACACUUCUACAUCUGCCUACACAAAGGUUUUAUGUUGGGAGGGUUUAAGACAUCCUUGGGGAGAAAGUCUGUACACACAGUCCACUAACAGAAGACCUCAGUUUCUUGUUGAUUUCUGAAGCAAGCUGUCUCCUUUUUCUUGUUUGCCCCUAUCGAAUAUUCUUUUGCCAUUAGUGUUUGUUGCUUUUUUGUUUCUUCAAUUGAAUGCUCCCUUUUUGUUUAAUAUAUUUUGCUUGCUUGAGUUUUUUUGCAUCCUCUUCCUCUUCAUAGUGGUCCUUUCAUUUUAGUCUGUGUUUGUACGACACUUUAUACACCUUGAUCUUGUACGAUUUUAAGUUGAACAACUAAUAUUCAUGUUCCCUUUUAAAAUAUCUGUCCUUGAGUAACACCCAUUGAGUAACAAGGGUUGCCAUUCUUUCUUAGCCAAAUCUCUGAAUUCAGGUUUUAGCUAUUUUUUUACACCACUUGCACAGCAAGCUUUUCAUCCAGUUAGGUAAAACUAUAUCAGAUGACUACAUAAGGGGGCAAAGAUAAAACACACAGCAAGAUAGCAGUUCCAACAUUUUAUUUUGUAAUUCUCUGUUUUUGAUGGUCUCUUUUGAGCAUCAGGCAAGGCAUGAUUCUUAAAACUUGCUGCUUGGUGAAAUUUGAUUUCUUCUUGUGCAGUUCUGCUGUGUCAAGUAUUGACGAGAUGGAUGAUGCAGUGCCAACUGCCACAGCUGUUGCAUAUUUUACAAACAACACGCAAACUCUCUCUAGAAGAACCAGGUUGCUUAAAGGCGACAAUCAGUUUGGUUCAUCUGGACUUGGAGAUGGAUCAUUUCGAGCUAGUUCUAUUGACGGGGGGUAAUAUAGAAUACUUAUUUAAGAUUCACUUGUGUAAAUUGUAUUUUUCUUUGUUUGGUUGCUACUUGGCAAAUUGUAUUUUUCUUUGUUUGGUUGCUACUUCUGCUUCACUGUGUAGAAUCUGGCUCCUGUUCUUUGAUUUUCUUAAUAUUAAUUCUGCUGCUGGUUAGAAUCAACUUUGAUGACUGAAUACUUUGUCUCACGACUAAGAAAACUUGUUUAGCAUCACCGGUUAGACUGAUGACUGUCACCUUGUGUGUUACAUACCCAUUUAUUUGUUCUGUUGUUCGUCUUUCUUCUGACUCAGUUUUGGCCUAUAUAUUGGUUUACGUUUUGUGUUUAUAUCUACUGCUCAAAUUCUAGUGUGCAAGAGAGUCAAACAAGAAAGAGAUGUUUGCUUGUCUAAAAUAUCAAAGUCUGUUCAAAGUAUAAAAAUCUAUAACACAAUGCAUUUUUUUUUUUUUUACAAAAGGUAAGAUUAAAUUGCAGUGUUGAGGGAUGAAACAGAGCAAUUUUUGCAUGGUGUGCACUAUUGCAGUUCCCCACAUUGCAUGCAUGUUGUGCUCUAUUGACUGAUAAGUUUUUACAAGUAAUGCGUAUGUAAAUGGAUUUUCAAUAUAAAAACUUGGAAUGGUUUUAGUUUGUUCUGAAGAAAUAUUUGCUUUGAUGAUUCAAAUGCCUAAUUUUUCUUUAUUGGAUUGAAUAAUGUGCAAAGUAAAUAAUGCAUAAUCUACCUCUUUGCUCUGUAGUUCAUCAUUUGACGGUCACGAUGAGGAUGGCACUUUGGAUGUACAAGAGGAUGGUAUGUCAAAGGUCAAUGGUGGUGAUGAUACAUUAAAGGAUGUCAAGCUUUUUUCUCGUCAGAUUCCAAUUUGGCUGUCAGAUGCCACUCCUGAUGAAUUUGUUGUAUGAAUGCUGUACACACUGUACAAUCUCAUCUGUGCAAUUAGUAAUCAACUUAUCUUGUCAAACAGUUAUGAGCUUUUUAUUUUGAAUCUGCAUGUAGGAAACAAUGCGAAAGAGUGAUGCUCCUUUGCAUGUUAAGUAUUUGCAGACCAUGGUUGAGUGCCUCUGCCUGCUUGGCAAAGUUGCUGCCGCUGGUGCCAUAAUAUGGUAAGUUUUCAACAUUCAAAAUCAAUAAGAGUCUCGUCUCAUAAGAUGAUCAGGCAUAGUUUUAACAAGUUGAUAUAUGUCUCUUCCAAGGCCUAAUCAAAUCUCUAACUUCUGCUGCACAAUCUCUCUCCCAUUCGACUUCUUUCUCUUGGCUCACUGCAAACUCGUAACUUUUGAUCCGCUUUUUUCACUUGUAUUCUUUCGGCUGCAUGUGACAUCUUUAUCUUCUUAGAAGUAUUAAUAUAUUAGCUUCAUAUCUUGUUCUUAAUGGUUUCAAAGAGUAAGGGGAAUCAAAGUGCUUUUUGUCAUAGUCAAAUCAAAAUUCCUUGUGCUUGUUACCUCAUCUUCUACAAUUGUGUGUUACAGGACACUAUGGGAUAAUUUGUUAAGCCAGUUUGCUUUAUGCAGCUACAGGAGAUAAGCAGGGCUUAAAAUCUGCUUCUGUUCUUUUCGAUUGAAAUUGUUAGACAUAAGGCAUCAAAUUGUCAUUUAGUGAGCUAGCGUUAGGUAUAUAUGCAUUGAGCUUGUUUUAGGAGUGAUGGCUUUUACUUUCUAUUGUUUUCUCAAACAAAUUAGAACAUGACUUUUGGUCUUUUCCUUGUUGUUUUCAACAGCCAAAGGUUGAGACCUACAAUUCAUGAUAUAAUUACAACCAAGAUUAAAUCACAAGCAGAGCGUUCGAACUCUUCAAGGCCUGGCAUUGGGCAAGCUGCACAAACUGGGUUAACAGGUCUACACUAUUUAAAGGGACAGUUGGAAAGUUAUCAGCUAUUAAAGCAGAAAAAACAUCAAAAUGGAAUUUCUCUAGCUGGAGCCUUAUUAGCUGUGAGCCCAGUGUCUUCUGUAAUGUCUCCCAGUGGAACAGCACAGGCUUCUGCAAAAGAACUUCUUGAUUCCAUUCUGGAAACUGUUGUUAGGAUUUUUGGUUAGAUAUGAGUGCCUCUCUUUUCUUCAAUUUAAUGCCUGUAAUUACUUCUCUACUUUCUGAACAAAUCAUUAUGAUUGCAGAGAACCAUGUUAUUGUUGGAGAGCUUCUUGAGACAAAAUCUGCCCAGCAGGUUGACUUGAAUACACCCAAGUCCAUAGUUGGAGAGUCCAAUUGGAACCAUGAUCCUGAGGCAUCACAUGAUACUGGUGGUUAUAGCAUUGGCUUCUCGCUGACUGUUUUACAGGUAGGUCUCUUAUGAUUGUGAUUUUUUUGUUAAGGUUGAAUUUCUUACUCUGUUAAAUUCUUAAAGUUCUAGCGCCAGAGUACAUUUUAAUUUGUGAAUUAAAUGCAUCAUUAUGGUUUUGAUGGAUUGCGGAUUAGAGUGAGUGUCAACAACUCAUAUGUGAAAUAUUACGAGCUACUCCUGAAGCUGCAUCAGCAGAUGCUGCUGUCCAAACGGCUAGACUUGCAAGCAAGGCUCCAUCUAAAGAUAAGAGGUGAGUAAAGAAAAUAUUGAUUCUCUUCCACUUUAUCUUGGAGAUUCUGUUCCUCUUUCUUCAAGAUAUUUAUUUUCAGAUAGCAACUCUAGGUCUAGGGCCAAUUCCUUGCUUGGAAUGAUAACAUCAAAUUUCAAAAAUUGGGAACUAUAGUGAAGUGCUUCUGCAAUCUUUGCAAGAGCAAAGUUUGUAUCUCAUCUUCAUUUGUCUUGACUGAAUAGUCUCUGCCAUCAAAUUGGAGUUAGUUGCAGUUCAUCUACUUCUUAUCUCUCCUCGCCUAUGUAGAGUUUGUUUUUAUUCACAAUUUGCGUCAUGAAAAAAUCAAUUGGACCAUGCGGUCUUGCAUGACUUAAGGCCAGUACGUGAGUCAUGAAAAGUGUAUGAUUGUUAAAAGUGCUUAACUCAUAAUCUAGUGGAGGAAUAAAAUUCAGGCAGUUUUAUUUUAAAUCGUUUUUUAGUAUAUGAUCAGGAAUGAUGCAAAUAAGGUAUUCAGGAAAAUUGGAUCAGGUUUCAGACUUUGUUGCAAUUGAGAUUCAGCUACAUGAUGUUGAAACCUGCAUGCCUAUUUGUUUAAUGUUCUUUCUGACCCAAUAAAUGGUAAGCUACGAUUUGUUGAUGUCUAAUUGUUUAAACUGUUUAAGCUUUUCUUUGAUUGAAAUGACUGAAAUAUACUUUCCGUUACUAAUUGCAACAAUCUUAAUUUAUGGUUUUACUCUAAUUGGGAACAAUUUCAUGUGAUAAUUAGCUGCAUAAGUAACUCAUAGGGGGCGAUUUACAUGCUGCAGUGAUUCACUUUUGGAACGGCCAACCACUGAAGGUGCUGAAUAUUCCAUAAAAUUGUCCAUGUGUUUGAGCACUGAACAUAGUUACCUGAUGAUUUUUAAAAGCAUGAUCGACCUAAUUGAAAUGAUUUAGGAAUCGUGACAUUGUUAGAGUGAACACUAAUAGUUUCAUUUAAUGAAGUUCCAGGGAUACAAAACUGGAUGGUCCCUAUUUAUAUUUUGUACUUGAUAGAAUUAUUACAGAAAGUAGUUCUGCUGCAACAGUGGCUUUAUGUUUCAUAUUCUGUAGAAUUUGUUUAAUUCUUAUUAUGACUAGUAAUGUUGCAUUAGUGAUUUCCCUGAAUCUUUAAGAUUUUUUUACCUCUCAUUGGCUUUGACAUUAAUCUUUUUUGUUGAAUCUGUGCUGUAGGGACGGAUCUGAAGAUGGUCUAACUUUUGCCUUUCGCUUCACAGAAGCUACAAUUUCCAUUCCUAAUCAGGGUAUGUGCAACUGUGCUAUUGCAUUUCUUACAAUUCCUUUUUCUGUUGCGUGAAUAUAUGAUUUAUUGCCCUUGUUGAGGUACCUAUGGAAUUACUUGACUUUGUCAUGUUUAAAAUUUUGUUCCAUACCCGAAGUAAAAUAUCUGUUGCGUUUUUCCAUUUUUUACUGGGACAAAAUUGUUCCGUUCAGUUGUCUGAACCCCAUUGCCAUUGAAUAAAUUGUGCCUGCAGGAAGAUCGAUCAUACUUAUAAGGUGUCAAAGUUGAUAAUAAAUUCAUUUAGCUAUCAGUCAUGAUAUUUUGUGGGUAUGAAGCAGGAUAGUUUAAGUAAAUUCGAAGAAAAUCUGUAGUAAUCUGUUUUGGGCUUCACGUUUUAGAAUGUCAAUGCCAUGUUCUUGCUUCUUCAUCUGCUAAUACCUUUACCCAAAGUUUGCAUGCUAUGUUUAUCUUCUUUCAACAAAUGAUGGAAUCAAAGCUUUUUAAUUUUUUAAUUUUUUUUGAUUGAUUUCAUCUAUACUUCCUCUCUCCUGCCAUCCUGGGUUUGGAGAAACAGUAGACGUAUGGAAAAACUGGUCUGCCAAUUGCAGUUACAUUUAGACUGUAACAUAUCCAUUUCAAGUUACUUUUUACAACCAGAUUCCUCUUUCCUUUUCAACUUUUCACUCCAUUGUCCUUAGUAAGUUUAUCGUGAACAAUUUGACUCAGGGGUUGAUCUCAUUCGCCAAGGAUGGAGUAGGCGAGGUCCUAAUGUGCUUCAAGAAGGUUAUGGUACUGCAGCUAUUCUACCCGAGCAGGGCAUAUAUUUAGCGGCAUCUGUAUAUCGACCCGUUCUUCAGGUUUAGCAUUUGACACGCUUUUCUAUUUCUUUCCCCCUUUUCCUCUUGUUACUAUCAAACAUGGAUUAUGUAACUGGUCUUAUAAAAUUUGUUUGUCUGCAGUUUACAGAUAAAGUUGCUUCAUUGCUACCUCAAAAGUAUUCUCAGCUUGGGUAAGCUUGGAGUUAAUUAUACAGCUUCUUGUUCUUGAGAAUGAAUUUUUUUUUCCUGACAGUUUACAGGAAAAUGGUUAAAGGCAAUUGUUGCCAUGGUUCUCUACUUAUCUUUUGACAUUUUCUUGUGCUGCUCUUGAUUUUUGUUGAGGAAACAUAAGUGGAUGAAAGGAUAAUGUUACCAUAUGACCUGCUCUUCAAGCUUCUAAUAAAGAAUUUAUCCUCUUCAGCGAGAACUAGAACUUCAUUACUGAAUUUUCAGACAACUGCAAGGCUCUAUGCUUAGCUGUAUACGAUAAUUUUGAUGAUGUCAUAAUAACUGAGGCCUCAGGAUUUAAUAUUUUGUGAUAAAGCACGACCGUCAUUGAAAUGUUCAAGUCCUAAACUUUCAAGAAGAUUUGUUUACCAGAAUCUGAAGAAGAGUGCAAUUUCGGACUAAAUUCAAGUAAUCACAUAUUUGUCUAAAUUUUCUGGUAGAAGUACAAAAAGAUAUAGAUGUACAUAAAAUUUUGACUGCUGUGUGUCGGACAUGCCUGAUUGUGAGUUUUUAUUACGAAGGCUUGCUUCCAUUUGGGAGUUGAUAUGCUAUUAUUUGCACGACUGUAUGACAUUCUCCUUCAUCAUCACCAAACAAAAUGGGGGAAAAAUAAGAGUGGUGUCAUUGCAGAAAUGAUUUUUUCUUUUUUGAAGUUGUUUUACUGAGGUGAGUAUAUAGCUUUUCUGGACAUCAUGGAAACAAUAUUAACACCACAAAAUGAUGUAUGAAGGUAAAUGGUUAGUGUAAUUAGAUGUCUAUGAGUAAAUUGGAAAACAGUUGCUAUAAUUAAAAAACUCCAUGUGACUGCCCUUUGCCACAGUUGUCAAAGGAAUUUAGGGCUUGGUUAUGCACUGGGAUACUUCCUGGAUAAACUGGAAAUUAGAGAUUCUGAUUUAGUGUAGUGUGUACCCAAAAGGUAACAAUAAUGACUGGAAUACUUUUGACAUUGUGGUGAUUGGAACAAGCUUCAUCAAAUGAUAGUUUAUACUGCUGUGGAAUUGAUUUAUUAGCUCCUUAAAAUUACUAUGGGUUUCAAAAGUGAAUGGUUCCUGUUGUUGCUCACAACUUAAAUUGGUUUGUAGUAACCUUCAUUUUUCUUUGUUUUAUCCUUUAGUGUGUCUUAACCACUAGAGGGUCUGGGACAUGGGUGUUAGUUUUUCUUGCCUCUGGUUUUUAUAAUGCUUCCCAGUUAGUUGACUUACACAUUCCUUGCUUUCGAAAUUUUCAGGAAUGAUGGGUUGUUAGCAUUUGUGGAGAACUUUGUGAAGGAUCACUUUUUACCUACAAUGUUUGUUGAUUACCGGAAAGGCGUUCAGCAAGCCAUAUCAAGUAAGUUCUACACACUAAUCCAUUUUUAGUUUUUCUUCAUCAAUUUCAUUCAAGCUUUAAGGUCAAGGAAUCUACAAUACUGAAGUCAAUAUAACGAUGAAAAGUUCUGCCUUAGUAUUACUUUGAUCAUAGCCUUGUGUUUUAGAAUUAAAGUAGUUAAAUACCAAUUUUCUUUAAAGCUCAUCUUAUAUAUUUACUCGUAAUUUUUAUUGUCUUUCAUUUGUGCAUUGAAGAUAUAGUUCCUCUGCAUUAGUAAUUCUUGAUUUCUGAGGACCAUAUUGAACAUGGUAGUUUUCAUAUGCAUUAUUAAAUUUUCAUUUAUCUAAUAGGAAUUUAUACCUGUGUUUCUCAAGCAUUAGGUGCAAUUUCUGGUUUUUCCAAAUCUUUUGAUUCGUGGAUACUGCGGUCAAUUAGUAAGGAGGCAGAAUCUUCAGUAUUAGAUUAUACCACAUCACGUUAUUUAUGUUUCACAUGUCAUAACAACCAUCGCCUCUUUGUCCUUUCACAUUGGGAGGGUAAAAUAAGAUUGUUCAGCAAACUGUCAAUGAAUCAACAAUAUUGUGGAGUGCAAUGUAAUUUGUAUCUUAUUUUAAGAAGUCUAACAUUCAUUAACUGCAGUAAGUAGAUUCAGAUAUACAUAAAGUAAGUAUAUAGAUCUUCUAUGCAUGAAUCUCAUGCAUAAAUAGCUUUCCCCAAACACUGUCAAAGUAGCACAAUGGGCUUAAUUCUCUGCUACAAAAGUUCAGGAUUCUUGAUAUCUUGCCAUUGGAGCUAUUUGCAAAUUGCCCUUGCUGUUGAUUAGGAGCCAUACUGGUUGAAAUUCUGAUAGGCUUCUCAGUAGAAGUGAAUCUGUCAAACUUUUGUUCUCUCUUUGUUUUAAGGGCCAUUGUUGACCUUUCUGGUUUCUAAGAUUCUCUUCAGAGCACAAUUUUGUUCCCUUUUUCUGGUUUUUAGAAAGAUCGCUUUGGUGGCUGAGAAUAAAUACUUAUCAGGUGGAAGUUUUUGUUUUAAAUAUUGAGGCUGUUCACUUAAUUUAUUGGUCUAAAUUCUCAGCAGUUUGACUGGAAAGGCCAGAAUUUGACAGUCAAACUGAAAUGGAGUGGACUGUAUAUUCUCUGAGAUAUUUUUCAUUUGUAAGUUCCGAGAGAGGCUAUUCUUGGAGAGGGGGUGGUUGUUGUGGACUUGUUGAUAGAAGUUAUUGGAUAUUGCCACGAGGUUGGCCGUCUUUUUGAACUUGGGCUUGUGCUACAUAGCAUCUGGAUGUCCUAUGUGAUGCGUGAGAGAUAAACAAUAUGUGUUGGAUUGGUAAAAAUUCACUUUUGGUGUUGGGAAAUUUAAAUCUGUUUGGAAAGAAAAGCAGUGAAUGGACUUCUGUGCAAGAGGCUGCAAAGGAAGAAGAAUUCAAUUACUGCUCUAAAAAUCCUUUAAUUCAAUUACUGCUCUAAAAAUCCUUUCUUUCUUGUGAGGGGGGUUUUUUGGACAUUAUUAAGCUGAAAUUGUAUUAGCUGCAUGAUGGGUCGUUUGUCAUUAAACCUUGUUUUUUGGAAAUCUCUAUGCAGGUCCAGCUGCAUUCCGUCCAAGAGCACAUGCAGCUGCUUGUUAUACACCAUCAAUUGAGAAGGGGCGGCCUGUCUUACAAGGGCUUUUGGCAAUUGAUUUCUUGGCAAAGGAGGUAGUCUUAGAUAUUCUUUAUGUCCUAUGAAAGAAAAAAGGAGUGUAUACAAUAGACGAAGUCAAACAGGCAUUUUUUGUCCAAGUCUUUCAACGCUUUGGUUACAAUAUUAGGGACAUUCCCUCUGUCAUUGUUUGAAAAGAAAGUUAUUUUGUAACUUGAUUGAAUUUACUUUGCUCUGUAGUGAUAAUGAAGUGUGUACUUUUCUUUCAAGUCAUUUUUUUGUCCCAUUUAAAUUGCGUUUAACCUAUAAACCUUUUAUUUCAGGUUUUUGGCUGGGCCCAAGCAAUGCCUAAAUUUGCUGGUGAUCUCAUGAAUUAUGUCCAAACUUUCCUUGAAAGGACAUAUGAAAGAUGUCGGACUUCAUAUAUGGAGGCAUGAGCUCUUUUCCUCAUUUUGUUAAAUUUUAAGCAUUUGUUGGGACCUUGGCCAGGGAAAUUUGUUUGCUACUCGUCUCUUUCUCUGUUCCUAGACUAGUUUUCAUUCUUUUAGAAAAUCUGGGAAACUCUUGGUUAAAAUAAUCUCUCAUUUUUGUGGCCUUCCUCAAAAGUCAAAUAUAUAAGGGCAACACCCUAGAUGUGUAAAUUUUAAAUGAAUGGCUGUUUCUUCUACAUCUCACCUUGUACGUUCAUAGCAUUCCAAAUAAGAAGAAGACCAAUAGUUUUCAUGUGUGUCAUCAUGCAUCAAAACCUCCUGCUCAAUGCACCUUGAGUAGUGGGGUUGUCAUGUAAAGUGUUUUGCAGUUUCAUCUGAAUCUGCAUAAUUCCAAAGUAAAUUGUUUCUGGUGGUACAUGUCUUGUUUGAUUAUGUCAAGGAUUUUCUUAUUUUUCAUUGCCUGGUAUUUUCUUUUGACAAUACUAUUCCUGGGUAAUAUAUCAGGCAGUUCUUGAGAAGCAAAGUUAUAUGCUCAUAGGGAGGCAUGAUGUUGAAAAUCUAAUGCGCAUUGAUCCAGCCAGUGCUUGUUUACCAAACUUACCUGGUCAGUCAAAUUUGGUCGGCAAUGCUUCUGAUGCUGAAACUGUGGAGUUUGAAAUGCAAAUGAGUGAUCUUUUGUUUAACUUGAGGCCGAUCAAGCAGGUAUCUGUACAGUAGGAGCCUAUUUAACAUUUUUACCUGUUGAGCUUUGGCCUCUUAUAUGCAAAUUAGACUAAGCCAGCAUCUUGAUAGUGAGCUACAUGCUCUGUUUUGAAUUUAAUUUUUGCAGGAGAACUUGAUUCGUGAUGAUAACAAACUUAUUUUGCUGGCAUCUCUGAGUGAUUCACUGGAAUACAUUGCGGACUCAAUUGAAAGGCAAGUUUUCCGCAUUUGUGCUGCCAUACAUGUGUGGUAGUCCCGUAUUAUUUUCCUUGAAAGUUUUGGUUAUCAUGCUUUUGGCAGGCAUGUGCUGUAGUAUUGUGUUUUUCAUACUACUUUGUUGGUAACUUUCAUGUGGAAAUAAACCCAUACAAUCGUUAUGCAAUUAUAUCAUUCACUUUGGUACAUUUUUAUGCCUAUUUUCUAAUAGAAGUCUCAAGUUCAUGUUGUAUUUAUGCUGAGUUGUUAUUUCAAUUUAGAAUAAAAAACCUGUCGCAUCAACUAUAUCUGUCACAUAUAUAGAUGGGCAUUGUAUUACCAAGAUUUUAUAUCAUCUGCUAUUUUGGUGAUAUUAAAAAAUCUAGCAAGAUAUCUGGCUAUAUUCUGCUAUAUUCUGAUGUGAAUGGAUGUCACUUUCUGCAUUGCAGAUGAGAUUUUCACAAGAUGUGCACACAUCCUUAUUUACUUCAUUAUGUCUCUUGCUAUUUUAGGUCGCUUACUUAUGUGCCAUUCACUAUGUGGUUGGUCCACAGGCUUUCUAGUCGUGUAUUUUCUCUGUUUAUGAAAUGGAAAAAGUGAAUAGUAUAAAUUAAACUCACCAAACAUGUUAAGACUCUUGGCCGAUGUUUUAUGUCUUACCUGAUGAGUUUCCCUAAUUAUCAGGCUAGGAAAGACAUCCAAGAAAGUAUAUAACCAAGUAGAAGAGAAUGGGAGGCUAAAAACUCCGCGUCAUAGUAGAACGACCAGUACAGCUCCUAAGGAUCUUGCAUCAUUUGCUGAGGAGUAUAGAAAACUAGCAAUUGAUUGCCUUAAAGUUCUGCGUGUCGAGAUGCUGCUGGAGACUAUUUUUCACAUGCAGGUUUGACCAUAUUUUGGUGAUUUCAAUAUUCUGUCAACUAAAACGGGUUUCUGCAAUCUAUUAAGCUUCUGUUGAUGUAGGAAAUGACAAGCCGGCAAUAUUUGGAUGACCAAGAUGCAGAAGAACCAGAUGAUUUUAUCAUAUCAUUAACAUCUCUGGUAUGUAUCACUGCUUUCCAUUUUAAACUGUGUGUAGAUGUCACCUUAUUGGUGCAGUGACAUCCAUAUGUGAUUCCUGGCUAGAAUUUUCUGAGCAGUCUGCAUUUACUCCAGCUUGAAGUAUAGCUAUGUCAGUUUUGUGAUCUUAUAGUGCCAUCUAAUUCAAGCGCCAAUAAUCUUGGAAAACUGCUUGGACCUGUUAUUUGGAUCAACCAAUAUCUGUCUUAGUUAUCAAUUUUCAUGAUAUGGUCUUUAUUAUAUGUAUUGGCAUGUUUAUGUGUUGAAGCACCUAAGACUUAUUUUAAUUUGCUUAUGAUCUAAGGCUGUAUGAAUCCUCAUGGCUGUUCUCUUUGCAAAUACUAUAAAGGACUCAGAAUCUAAAAAAUUAUGAUUAGAUAGAAUUUCAUGUUGUCUGUACUUAUUUUGGUGUAAUCUGAGCAUGGCAUAUGUGUCAAGUUGAUUGUGCUAUGGAAACACAAUAGGCAUCAAAAAACCAAACUUCCAUUACCUCCUAUCAGGUUUUAAUUUAGUUGUCAUCUUCUUUCUUUGAUUGGUAACCUCCUAUCAUGUUCUGAUUAUAUGUUACAAGUUUUUCCCAAAUGUUCUCAAUUUAUGCCAAGUUGAAUGAUGUCAUUCCAUUAUGUUUCUUUGGACAUAAUCCUUACCAUAAUUCUGCUUUUUUGACUGUUGUAGAUAACACGUCGAGAUGAAGAAAUGGCACCUUUCAUUGCCGAGUCGAAGCGUAAAUAUAUAUUUGGUGGAAUAUGUGGUGUUGCAGCACAUGCGUUUAUCAAGGUUUGCAAGUCAAAAUUCUUUCGUUUGCAGUUCCAGAUCAUAGGUUGGUAACAGAGUUCUUUGUUGCCUGUUAGGCUUUGACGGAUGUGACUUCUAUCAACCUUUUCGGGGUUCAGCAGAUAUGCCGGAAUUCUAUUGCCUUAGAACAGGUUUGUUUUGAUGAUUCUUUGCUCUUGCAAUGAAAUAGGAGUGUCAGAUUAAAUCUCGGAAAAUGAUGAUUAUCCUUCUCAGUUAAAUUAAGUCACACGUCACCAUUCCUUGAUUGUAGCUUUAUAAACUAUUAUAAAAUGAGGGUUUACUCUAGGUGUAUGUGAAGGUUUAGACUUGAUCGUCAGCUUUACGUGUUUGCAUGAUUUAAUCUGGACAUUAGUUGUCUAGUCCAAUGAUCGAAAUCUGCAAUACUGUUGCUUAUGGUUGGAGAGGAGUUCAGGAAAUAGAAAAAUCGAUGACUACCCAUUUCUUUCGUAUCUGUCAAGCUAAAAGUUAUCUGAUAAUUUACGGCCUUAUUGUCAGAUUCUUUGCUGAUGUUCUUUAUGGAUUGGGAAUUUUUGAAGCAGUUUCUAGGACUGUAGUACUUGUUUGAGAAUUACAAACCCCAAAGGCUACUGACCAAUUGGCCAAAUGCUGGAUAAACUAAAAUUUUGCCUACCCUUGUUAUAAUAGGGAGCAUAGCUGUAACCCAUGCAUGUCAGAUCUAAUUGAACUGAUUGCCCACAAUUGUCACAAGCCUAUUGUUACAUAAUACUGAUGACUUGUUCCCAAUCUAAUUCUGGUUCUCAAAACUUAUGCCCAUUUCAAUUCUGUUUCUGCUAUUUUAUAUAGCUGAUUUGUCCUAAUCGUUAUUGCAGGCUCUUGCUGCUAUCCCUUCAAUUAAUAGUGAAGUCGUACAGUUGAAGCUAGAUCGUGUGCGGACAUACUAUGAACUAUUAAACAUGCCAUUUGAGGUAAUAACUCAACUUUUUACUUGUAUCAAGGCUUAUGUUUUCUUUCAUGACUUUUCUGCUUUCUUUUGUCAAACAACACUAAUAUUAUCACUGUUGUACUACUCUUUACAGGCCAUGUUAGCAUUCAUCACAGAGCAUGAGCACUUGUUUACAGAUGCAGAGUGAGUUUUUUUUUUUUUUUUGGCAUUAGAUUUAAAAGUUAAUGCGCACCCCCUCUUAGUGAAAUUACAUUAUUCAAUUCUGCAGGUAUGCAAAUCUUCUGAAUGUUCAGGUGCCUGGGAGGGAUAUUCCUUUUGAUGCACGCGAUCGUGUGUCGGAGAUAUUAUCACGCUAGCUUGUUUAGCUUGUGCACAGUGAUGAAUCGCACAGUGGAAUUUCAGGUUGAUGUUUUUCAAGCUGUGGAGCUGAGCAGGCUCUUCAUUUUUUGUACGAUGCUGGCAUUUGUACAUAAUUCCAGGUGUAAUGGUGAUCAGUGUCGAUGAGGAAGCCAUUAUACUGAAAAUUCUAUGCCGUUUGGAACAAAUUUUGUGAGUAUGGUUUUUGGGGUUGUAGUAUUUGUCUGUUUAUAAUGAUUAGUGUAUUCUUUAGUAGCAUCAAUUGUUGGCUAUUUUUUUCUUUUUUUUCCCCCUUUUCUUUAACGGUUAUCAUUUUGUACGCAAUAAGUGAGGAAAUUUGUGCAGACUUGACCCGAAAAGCUAAUAUUUUGUUUUUUUGAUCAGUGGCAGUUCACUUGUCACGGGCUUAGCCUUGACAAAAUAUCAGCGAACUUUACACUGGCAAUUUUCCAGAUAAAGAUGGGGAUAAUCCGUUUAUGUUGGUAGAGAUUUACAAACCAUUUGAUCAAAGUAGAAUUAUGCUCAAGUCAUCCUAACAUACUAAAUAAGGAUAGAUUAUGUAAAGCAUCCCAGACCAAGAAAUUUCAUAUCUGCAGGAAUAUCCAAGAAUGGAAAGGCCUUUCGACCCAAAAUACGUUUCCAUCCAAAAUGGUAGGAAAAAAUUUUUAUUAUUUCAGGGUUUGAUAGACAAGUUAGAACAUAAUAUUUACUCAAUUUACAAUGUUCAAUUUCUAAUGUUUGGUAUAAUCAAUAUUUAGAUGUUAGAAUGAAAUAUACUAAUUACAAAUUUGACUUAAUUCCCUUGGAUUAGAUUAUAGGACAUGAUACAUUAUAUUAGUUUCCGUUUUAUUUGUUCUGCAAUAGUAUUUGUCUAUUUACGUGAAGUUUUGAUAUUUUUGCUUUAAAAAUAAAUGAGGAUUGAUAUCAAAAUUCGUCAAUUAUAAUAACUGAUUCAUUCUAAUAUAUAGAUUUUUAAGUUAAAAUUAAAAUUAUAAAAUAUAAAUUACAUGAAACCAAACAAUUAUAAUUUAUUUUUAAUUUAUUUUCAAUUUUGACAUGAGAUUCAAAAAAUUCUUGCACAAUUGUUCAAAAGUCAAAGAAUAAAGUAUCUUAAAACAUUUGCUUCCUAGUAUAAAGGAACAAUUAUUCUAAAUACAAGGAAAAUUAAUUAUUAUGAAAAAUUACAUUCAAAUAUUAAUUGAACUUACAAAUAGCCAAAGAUAUGGUGAUGCAAUAUAAAAUUUAUGAGGAUAAAUUUGAUGUCUUACUAUUUAGGCAUUCUAAGAUGAAGGUGUAAAGAUCUUUCCCUAAAUUCUUUUUAAAGAAUGAGAUUCUAGAAAAAAAAUAGUUGGAAUGAGCAUUCUAGGAGGAAAAGAUUUUCUCACCUGAAUGAAUCAUACUAAACACUGAAAUAGAAUGGACAAGUUGGAAAAGUCUUUCCUUUCUAAUCUAUUCCUACGCACUAAACUGGAGGUAAAGUCAAUAGAGAAAAAAAAUAAAAUUGAAGUUGCUCUCUCUCUAGUUUAAGAAUUUUAAGUGAGAAAUGGGACAAUUUUAGACGUGAUUGUCAUCAUAAUUUUGCUAUCUACUGCAUGGAGGAUAAACUAGGUAUAUAAAAAAUUUUCCUUGAGCUUUGAUUUGCUCUUUCUAGGCAAAGCGGGAGGAAAAGGAAAAGUUUUGUAUCCUUCCCCUUAUCCCAAAAUUUUUUUAGUAGCCUCUUUUUCCUUACCUCCCAAAGUGCCCAAUUUUGUUUCAACCCUUUUCUUUUAUGCAUGUUAAGUAGACUGUAUAAACAUGCAGCAUUUUGAUUGUACAGUCGUCAUUGAUUGCCAUUAAUACCUUGUGUGACAAUUUACAAAAUUCUUGUCCACAGUCCGGACCAAACACCGAGAGUCCACCCCCAAUACGUACAGUGCAUAUGUCCAACAAAUUAGAAAGGGGAGGGGGCAGCUUGGCUCAGCACAAUGAAAGCAUUACAGGCCAAUUCCAGAUCAAAUAAAGAUGUAAAUGAGCUGCCAAAGCAAAUUUUGGUUAAGAGAAUUGUCAAGUCAUGGCUGAGUAAUUAAGUAAAGCCACUUUUGCUGUGAGAGACACUUCCGGUUUGGACGUCUUGGCCAAGAAGAGUUUGAGUUAGCAUUUGACGAUUACCCACAUGAUUUGGUCAAUUGGAUUUAUGGGCUUGACUUGUAGUAAGACUGUAACAAGCAUCGCCUCAUUCCAAUCUUAAAAGAAAUAGAGAUUUAAAAAAAAAAAAAAAAAAGCAGUAUCCUGUUAAAAUCGAUGCAUGACCUAUGCUACUUAGCGUCAACUUUGUUUAUAUGGCUAAUUGAUCAAAGGCUUGAAAAAGCAGGGUAAGUAAUUGGCAGGGUAAUUUCAUUUGUUAUGCUUUAUUGCUUGGAAUUCGUCAAAAUCUUUUACAUCAGCCAAAAAUAUAUAUAUAUAUAUAUAUUUCCACCUCAUACCCGGGACAGUACCUGUAAAAGGAGUGUGAUUGUAUUUGGCAGCACAGAACAGAAGACCUACUUAACCAUGUAAAGAAAUGACCAAGAAUCCUAAAAUUGUUUUGUAUAUACAUCCUGCUUCACAGUGCAUCAACAGCAGCUUGAAAUGCUGAACUCAACUUCAGUGUCCUGUUCGCCAAGUUGCGGAUGUCUUCUCUCGAAGACUCCACCGAUAUUCGACUCAGUUCUUUCAAUCCUCCACUGGAUACAAAAUCCUUAGCAUUGUAUUCUGUGGAGAUCAGCAAGUUCACAUGCAAUGUCAGUUUACAUUGUAGUCUUGCGAACGUGGUAAUAAUGUCCAUCAAACUUGGAGAAACAGAGACAAGCACAAAAUGGAUUCUGUGAAACAUCAGAUGAUAGCUGGAAGAAUGCACUUGACAGCAUUUUGCAGUUAAAAUCUGCUAAGUCCAUUUAUGGUCAACUUCCAUUUAUGGAUUGUGCAACAAUCCUAAGUCCUUAGAUAAUCAAUUACACCAUGAACUGUUCAAGGAAAUAGUUACCAUUUUGUGCCAAAUGACAAAGAGCAAGUUCUAUGUGACGCCGAGCUGAACUAGAAGUGGUAUUGGAGUUGGCGAUCAACCAUGCUAGAGCAUUAUCUUCCACUAAUGGUGAACGCCCUCUCCUAUUUCCUGCAGUAGAUAAAGCUUCAGAUGCAUGACCUCUGUAAUAUAGUAUACAUGUUACAAUGGAGAUAAUAGCCAAUUUUCAAACCUUGAAGUAUUCCUCGAGAUUCACACUUUGCAAAGUUAGCCAUUCCUCUGGCUACCUGAGCUAUGACAUCAAUAUUCCCAUAUCUAGCCAUUUUGACAAGAGCUUUAAUGGCCGCAUCUUCCCUCAGGAUUACAUGUAAGCUUUCUGUUAUAUCAGGAGCAUAAGACAUCAGUAACUGAUACCUUCUUAUCUAAAGCCUCAGAAGCAUUUUUCUUGUCCAAGAUAUUUAACCAAACAAGUACAAUGUAUCCAUUAUGGCAUUUUAAAACUUUUAAACUGAAUUUCAACCAUACAAGAAGACUCAGAUAAACUAGUAUAUACUCCAGCUGGAGAUGAAAUAGAUAAAGCAAUAAAAUGUCAUCCAUGGGCAAUAAGAUUACCAUUUCCACACAAAUUUGCAAUUGCUCCGGCUACCAUUCUCAGAGUUUGUGGGUCAUCACUUUUGGUAGCUGUAUUUGCAAGAAGCCGAACACCAGCUUUACUUGCUAUUAGGCCUUGAUUCAACUCUGAAGAAGUUAAAUGUUACAAAUAAGUCACAUCUUACCAUACAUAUGUUAAACAAAUCGGUCACAUCUUACCAUACAUAUUUUCAUGUACCAAGAACAUACCACAAAAGCCUCGUCUCAAAAUUAAAACACAAGACAUACUAACACAAACAUGCUCAGGGAAAAAUUAUAAGGGAACUAGAACUAAAUCCUGCUUAUCUACUUCUACAUAUGGAAGGAACGGAAUAUCUGUAAACACGACCAGUGUUUUUGUAAGAAAAACAAAAUUCCUCCAUUUUGAGAAUAUUUGCAAAAUAUAAAAAGAAAAUAAAAAUAGAGAACUUGAUUAUCUUGCAAGUUAUGAAAGGCAAAUAUUUAGGGAACAUAUAGAUGAGAACAGACACGACGUUUGAGAGAGAGAGAGAGAAGAAACUAAGCUAAAAGCCAAGUAGAAAUUGCAUUAUACGCCUGGGGUGGUUUUAUGAAUUAAGAAUCUUAUUCAGUUCAGUAUGGAGUUAUCUGUCAUUUUGGGGAAGAAGAUUUUUGUGGCUACUCUCUCUGUUAUCUCCGUUCUUCUGUUUUUCAGUAACACUAAGAUCCAGGAAUGACCUGGCUGUAAUGUCAUUAGAAGCUUCUUAGGUAUAACGUCAGAAUCUGUCCCUCAAAUGCAAUAAUGCUGGUUAUCAGCUAACACACAUGCCAAAAUAUCUACCAGCAUCAUACCAAUAUUUGAAUCACGUCAGUUGGAUUAUAAUUUGAUCAACUGUUUCACUCGUACCAAAUCUAAAUUGUUCUCAGCUGGUUGUAGCCAAAGUAAAGCAGCAGAAAGUUAGCCAUACUUCUCGCAUGAGACUAAACUCCUUAGCAGUGUUCCAUUAAUCAGAACCUCUAAACACAACCCACUGAAAGGGGCUACACAGAUAUGAUUCUACUAUUUCUUAGUGUUAGACUGUAAGUAACAUUGUUAGAAUGCUCAUACUUGCUUUUUUUCAUGUAUGCAACUAAAUAAUAUAGAUAUAUGCAAACCAAAAGAAGUAUUAAAUCAAGAGUUCCAUUAUUUCCCAAAAGACUGCAGCUGUUAAUUAAUUAGAUGGACAUUUACCGGCCAAAAAACCUCAUCUAGCAAAUAAUACUUUUCCAUAUUACUUCCUUUUCUUCUUGUUACCUUUUGUUCAAUCUAUUUCUCACGAAGCAAUGCAUCUAGGAGAAAUGCUUAUUGCCACUUAUAUUGGCAAACUUUCUUGCCCAAACAACAACUUAGAACCAAUUAUCAGAAAGGUGAUAAGAACUUAAAAUGCUGCAAGGGAGCUCCUGUUGAUUGAAGGGGAGAGAAUAACUCACCAACAUCUAAAUCUGAGUACAUUACACAGAUAUAUAUUUACAACAGAAGACAGCCAAGAUGUACAAAUACCAUUCAUGGCCAAAUUGGCAAUAGCACCAGAAGCCACCCUGAGUAUGGUUGUAUUCUCUGAUGACUGCAGCAGCAUGAGCAGUGCAUCCAGACCCCCUUCAUGAACAAUCCUCUCUUGGUUGCUCUCUAUAUUGAGUGGUAAGCAUGAGAAAGGAACUAAAGAUUUUGAUCUUUGUCAAGUUUGAGGAUUGCAUGAUGCGUGCAGUAAGUCUAACAUUUGUAAUCUAUGCCAAAAAAAACUAUUAAUUCUUGCAUUUGUGAUGCUGUCUUAAAGAUUUACAAGAAGUGCAAUGGAUAUCUGAAUUUGAUUCAAGUUCUCUUUGUGCCUAUAGAACAUUAAAUUUUACUAAAAAAGCAAAAGUUAAUUAAAUUUUCACUUGAAUCUCUUUAAGUUUAGAUUUAACUAGACUGUUAGCAAGUUUCAUUUUUCAAAGUAAGAUAUAUUUUGAAGUGUACUAGUGCCUGAACAAAUUUGCCAAAUUUAUUAACCAUGUUUAACGGUGAGAAUCAGUAUUUUUGAAAAUAAUAACAAACCAUUUUCCAGACCUCGGAGACUCUCACUACUUUUUCUUACUUCAUUUGGAACCUCAGGAUAGGAGAGCUUUUAACUCAAUUUGCUGAAAAACUUAACAAAACAGUUGAAAAAAAAUUGCUGCUCUGCCUUUUGGAAAAAAUGCUGUGAAAUAUUGAUAUCAUUGGGAGUUCAGGCUUUGGAUAUUUGUAUCCAAAGUUUAUAACGUCAAAACCAAGCAUUGAGCACCGGAAUAGUGAUAUAGAAAGUUGAAAUAUUAAGUAAAACGAUAUUUUAUCUGAAAUGUACAAUAGGUUUUACAAUAGCUUGUGUCUUCCAAUAGAUUUGUCAAAAUGUAGAUGAUUUAAGUGGGCGUGAUUUUCAGUUCUUAACUGGACCUUCUUUCCAACACUAAGUACCAUCCAGAAGUCAAAGAUGAGAUAACUAUUUUAAGAUUUUAGGUAAACUUUUGAUGAAUGGAUUAUGACCCAACGUCAAUAUAAAGAUUUUUUUUUUUUUUUAUUUAUUGCAUGCAGUACAUCCAUCAAGAACAGAAUUGCUUUACCAUUAGGUCCUAAUUGAGUGAUUUUGAAAAUAUUCAGUAGCAUGUAUGUGGGUGCAAGUCUUUGUCCAGAGAGUAACAUAAUGAGAAACGCUAAUCCUGCGAGUAUUGCCAGAAUUUAUGGAAACACAGUCAGAGAAUCUGCCACCCGGUCCUGAGAAAUUACUCUGCAAAUGUUCAUGACUAUCCACCACUUUAGACAUCAGAUUACUGAUUAUCCAAGCAUUCCCGACUGGUCAAAAGCUUCUUUUUGUGUUAUGUCCAGUUUCAUCCAGUUGUUGUAUUUGUUAUAGUUUUUGGUGUACAUUUACAUUAUAUGUUGUAUUGAAUAUAUGUGGAACAUUUACUAUGUAGACCAACUUUUCAACAUAAUGUAAUUGUACACCAAACAACGCAAUAAUUUCAAUAACAGCACAACACCCAAUGAAAGAACAAUUGCAUCUGCCCCAAAUGACUCUGUAUGGUAUGCAUGUAGGUAGUCAAAGACCUUGACACUGAAGAGUUAGAAAUAUUACCAUUAUCUUCAGUUAGCAAAAGGAUCAAUAACUAAAAGUUGCAAACCCAUCAGAGUUGAGGAAAAGAUAUGCAACUUAGACAGAAAAAGAACAAAAAAGAAAAGAAGAAGAAGAAGAAGAAGAAAAAUAGCCACAAACUUUAAAACUCAAAACAGAAGCUUUUGACAUUCAAAAUUAAUAUCAAGUAUAUUUCUGUGCAUACCUUCAGCGGCAAGAUUGGCUACCACUUUCACCGCAUGAAUUUGGACAUCCAACUCUUCACAUGUUAGCAAGGAUAAUAUCUUUUGGAGGCCAACUGAAAGUGAAAAGAGAGAGAGAGCAAGAGAAUCAUCUUUCAAGCAAGACCAAUGGAACUUUCAUUUGCCUAUUGUCAACAGAAUUUAAUUUAUUCUUAUUAUGCCAAUUUAGCGUAGGAGGUCCCUAAGUUGUCAGAUCACAGACCUUGGCAUCACAAUCCUCCUACUGCUUCUCGUUAUAUGCACUCGAUGUCAGACUAUUGCUCUAAAUGUAAAAGAUUGGAUAAUCACCAUCACAAACUCCCAAAGGCCUAUCUAAAUAUGGUGCAAUAAGAUGACACGCCUGAACAGACAAAAGCCAGAGAAACUUACCUUCUUCACAUAUCUUCGCAAUACUGCUCCUUUGGCCAAAUGACGAAGGUCCUCUGUUCAAUUUUUCUUUUGUAUAUGACCUCUUCUCCUGCAAGUCGCAGAAAUUUUAACCACCUAAUUUUUCCAGGGAAUAAGAGCCCAGAAGUUGCAACUGACCUCAAACCCAUCUUCAGAUUCUGGCACAACCUUCUUGAUAUUAACCAGAUCAUUUUCAGCAGCCUUCCUUCGCAUUUCCUCUACUUUGAGUGCUUGCCUCAGGGUAUGAAUUUCAUCAUUUAAUCUACCCUAAAAAUCAAUGUUGACAGGGAUUGUAGCAGAUUAAAUGAAGUCUACACCAUCAAGAUGGUUAAUAACUUAAUCCUUUUCCUUGUUUGUGUUACGAGUAGAUCAGAUUAUUCUUUUUGUUUUCAUUCCUUAUGUCUUCAUAUUCUUUUUACACCAUUUUAAUUUUAAAAUUCUCAAAAUUGAGAGCAAGCUGGUAGAAGUGCUGUUCUAAAAUUUAACCUGAACCGAGAAGUUCCUUUCAGUGGAUCUAGGAACAAAGGUAUUAAUAUAUAGCAUGAAUCUCAUUUUCCAGUGAUACCUUUUCUGCUUCCAGAUCAUUGUGUUCUUUUUUCAGAGAUUGCAGUUCAUUGCCAGUUGCCUCAUGCACUUGAUGCAUUUCUUGUAAUCUAGACUUAAGCUCUCUGAUCUCUUUUUGCUCCUCAAUCUAUCAAAAAAGAGAAGCAGACAAAAAAAGGAAAAAAAAAUCACCAGGGAAAAAUUGAUUCCAGGAGUUAAAUGGCUGUAGAGAUGAAAAGGUAAUCAGUGGCCUUAUGACAAGUUUAUAUCCAUUCAAACAAUAAUCCAUGAGAACCUGGCAUUAAGCAAAACAAGUAUCAGGUGGAGGAUAACUCUUUUCAAUUAAAGGCAUAACAGUUACCUGGACUGAGUUUUGCUGCCCACUUGAGAGCUUUCUUAAUAUGUUUAACUGCUCUUGUGCAUCAAUAUACCGUGCAUGCUCUUCAUUGAUCUCCCGAGUCAAAGAAGCUAUUUUCCCUUCAUACAUCUGAGUGGUCUCUGCAAGUGUCUUCUGGUAUCCAGAGUUUUCCAUCUGAACAUGCUAAAAAGAAGGAAAAAAAAAAGGAUCAAAUCUGUCUCUCUGCUAAAACUACUGGGAAUAAAAUACUAAAUGUUCUUCAAAGAUUUAUCACAACGUUACAGGAUCAGCAAUUCCUCAAAAUCAAUUUGAGCAUGGAGAAUGUAGAUAUUUAACCUGCAUUAAGAUCUGAUUAUCAGUUAGUUUUUUCUUCAGUUCUUCCAAAUGUCCUUCAGCACUUUCAGCUAGUGCAUGUGAAUUUUCUGAUUGUUUCAUCAGAUCAGCUAAUUCCUUCUCAUACAUUUGGGUGGUAUCCGCAAGCACUUUCUGAUAUGUAGAAUUUUCUAGCUGCUGUUGCUACUAACAGACAAAACAAAAACAUUAAUUUGUCUAUUCACACCAGAAAAUAUGACAGAAGAAAAUUUCAGUGCUGAACUUAUUAGGAAGAAACUAAGGAUAGAAAAGAGAACCUAACUUAGAUAUGACUUUACAAUUGGUGGAUGUAAAUCCAUAUCCAAAGCUUGGAUGAACAAACAAGUUGCUAUGUAUAUUAUGGUCAAUAUGAGGUCCUUUUGAUAUUCACAGUAGCACUACCAACACACUUGAAGGCCAGAAUCCUAGCAUUGAGUGGCAUACCAGUGCAGGGUGGAGAGAGAGAGAGAGAGAGAGAGAUCAUUUACUGAAACUGUUCUUCUGUAACAUGGUUGUCCUUUUCUCUCAAAAAUAUUUCCAAACUGAUUCAGUUGACAGCAUAGAAAUCUCCAACCAAUUCAUGAUUUUACAUGUCACUUGACCCGUGAUCACCCUACCAUUAGUUGUUCAAAAUUUUCAGAUAUUUCCAUGGUUUUUAUAGAUAAUUAAUUUGGAGUCUAUAUUCCAUUUUCCUCAGAUAGUUUUACUGAUAUGGUAAUGAUAGAAAAGAUAUUUAGACUCAGCGAUGAUCUGCCUCCCUCAUUCUUAAAAAUACCAGAUAGAGAACAAGUUAAUCUCAACUUGAUUUGUAAUUUUCUCCACCAAUAAAGUCAGAUCCUUCUGCAACCAUGUAAGGCAAAAUCUCUCCUCAAAUAUGCCUGUCAGUCUGGGUUCAACUAGCAUUCAUGCCUCUCAGUUACAAAAUUAUGGUGUUUUCUUGAAUCAAUUUCUCUUUCUGUUCAUGCUAAACAGAAAGGCAUAUGUUUUGUCCAAAUCCUGAAUCAUCUAAAAACUUGCACUGCUCUAAUUAAUCCAGUUCAAAUAAGUUAAAUUUCAUGUGAAACAUGCCCCAUCUUGUCAAAAAUCAUAUUUUGAGUUAUUGUGAUCUAAUGUCCUUAACAACGACAUACUUGUAUCUUACAUGCUCUAGCAGUUGCAGAGAGCCCUGGCCCCUUUAAUUGGUUCAUUUCUAUUUAUCUAACACAUCUUUUGCUUAUAGUAGUAAGUUAGAGAUUCCCUCUUGCUGUCACCUUCAUUUACAUGUUCCAAAGCCCUACUAAGUCAUUUUAGUGCCGCAAAGCUUCUUUGCAUAAAGAAGAAAUAUGUACUUUGUUCCGCAAAGCUUCUUUGCAUAAAGAAGAAAUAUGUACUUUUUUCCCUUCACUUCUAAAUGUGAAAACAAAGUUCAUCAAAUAAAGCUCUACAACCACAGAACUCAGAUGCAUAUCAACUACCAUAACACCAUAAACUACACAACUCAUGUUUUUAAAAUCUACUUUUGAUUAUUGGUUCUAGAUGGAGAAAGGCUUAUUAUGUGAUGAGCAUUUGUGCAACACCACUUCACAAAAUCACCAUUUUCAAGUUUGUAAACACCUUUUCUGCAAGCGAGAAAAGACCCCAUAGCAUUAGUAUCAAUAAACAUCCAAGUGAAGUGGAGUAAAUGGCAGAAUUGUUGAUAAGUUCUUUUGCAACAAAUCCAAAACAAAAGAUACCUUGCUGAGCUUUAAACUCAUUUCUAGGCUAGCAACUUCAUCUCUCAUUACGUCAUUAUAAUUUUUCUGCUGAGACAAAUCAUCUAAAACAUCUUUCAACUUCUGUGCCAACUGAGAAUUCUCCUUCUCCAGCAACUGCAGUCAAGUAACGUUAUUGAGAAGAUUUCAUCUAAAGUGGAAACUAAAUAAAGAAGCUGCUGAAACAGAAAAAUACAGCAGAACCUUAUCUAGCAUAUAGUAUCUCACAUUAAGCCAAUCAAGAUAGAAUGCAAAGAGAUCUCUGGGAUUUCAUGUUGAGUAACCAUGAAGUAGAUGAUUUCAUUACCUUGUUAUUCUUCAUACUCUUUUCAAGUUGUGCAAUCUCAUCAUGCAUCAGAUCAUUAUGGUCUUUUAGGCUUUUGAGUUCUUUUACAAAAUCUUUCAUCCUGGAUUCUAAAGAAGCAUUAUCCUGCUCUAAAAACUGCAAUGGAUUACAUAUAAUGAGAAGCUUAACAUUGCAUUUUUUAAAGAUGCUGCUGAACCAAAGCUAUUUGACUAAUGAGCUCAACAAGAGUUGGUGUACAUAUUGGAAAUGGAAAGCAAACACAAAAGGACAAACAAGUACCUCAGACCUGGAAGCCAAACUCUUUUCUGCUUCAGCCAAUGAAUUUUGGUAUUCUCUAAGCUUGAUUUCCAUUUCACUUCUGUAAUUCUCCCUCAACUUUUGCUGCUUAUCCACUUCUUCAGUAAGGUGGUCAACUUGAAUCUCAAGCUUCCGGCAUAAGCUUUCAUAAUCAAAUUCUUCUUUUAGCUUUACUGCAUUUACAAUUUUCAUGGCCUGCAAAAGUUAGUAAAAUUACAGAUCAUGUACACUGAAAUACAUAUAAGAAGCUGCGAACAAGAUUGCCCACAAAAUAACCAGAGUACACAAUCACUCAUUUUGCCCCACUGUUGUUGCUGUUGACAACAGCUUCAUCACUCAUGGGCCCAGAAAUAAGCAGGCAAUUCUCCACAAGGACAAAAUUGAAGCAAUAUUAUGUUGUUUUUUGCUUGAUGUGUACAAAUUUUACACGGAGAUGUUAAAGCAUUCACAGUCAAUAUAUAAGAUGAAGAGAUAACGAAUCUCUAGGUUUUGUUUGCAAAUUAGAGACGGAAGAAGAGGGAAGAAGUGGGCUUUGUAGGAACAGAAUGAAUUAACAUGUAAAGCUGAGAAACUCCUAAUCAAAUUCAUCAAGAAUAGAGACAUGAAAUAUAGUCCACCAGGCAAAUGAAUGCAACAUGCUCUUCAAGGAAUCCACUUUACUAGAUGAGUUAUAAUUCUUAUGGCUAUUAAAAGUGAUUUCAGGUACCAGAAGUGAUGUAUGAUAAAUCUAUUUGGUUAAAAACACAGAGGCUACUCCAUGUUCCACCAGUAUUUGUCUCACAUGAAACAUAAUGCUAUAGUUUUUUACUGCAGAAAAUAAAAUUCAGAAAAGGACAUGAUGGCGAAAAAUGUCUUGGAAUAUGUAAACGUGUAUGUUUAGAAUUUCGUACUCGUGAACACCUUGGCAACUAUAUACUCAACUCAAAUUGGAAAUUUCAAGCACAUUGUCAUGGAGAACCUUCAAAUGGAUAGGAAUUGUAACUUACCCGUUGUCCAAACAUUAUAGUGCUUGAGGUUUCUGCAUGAUGACGAGAAGAUGGCCCUAUAGUUACUAUAAGUGAAGUCCUCGCUGAACCUGUUUGUCAAAAUCACGUAAAUUUUGGCACAAAAAACCAACGGAGUUGUAUAGGAAAUGAAAAGUUUAGCUUCGAAAAUUGAUGAAUAUCUUAUGAUGCAAUAGCAAUAUCAAACUGUCAACAUUAAGAACACAGACUCUUUAAUAAACUAAGAGCGCUUCAUGUCAAUAACUUCCAUCUUGUAAUCAAUAUCAACCCAUUGGUCCAUGCAACCUUGUGUCCUCCAAAAGUGAAUUAUACAAACUCUUUCUUUUUUAUCAUCGUCUCCACAGGUAUUGCAUGUUUGAUAAUACAUUUCCACUGUUAUCGAUUGAAAAUGAGAAGUUACCAUAGAAUUUUCUUUAGUUCAACAAACCUGAGAAUUGCUUAUGCAGUUAUAAAUGACAGAAUAUGGCAGUAACGUUGUUUGCGUGUUGUUCUCCAAGCUACAAAAAGAUUAGCCAUUGUCUCUCUCUCUCUCUCUCUCUCUCUCUCUCUCUCUCUAGGGGAAUUUGUGAGAAUAGUCGUCAAUGCAAAGUGAAAUUACUAGACAGAAAAUGUUUCAGAACAAUAAUGACUCUCAUAAAAAUACAGCACUCAAAAUUCAGAUCUUACCUCCAAAUGAAUCACGAAGCAAUCUGGUUAGUUUAGAAUCUCUUGUGGGAAUAUGAGGACUAUUUUCAGCCAGUGCAUUAAUACAUUUUCCUAAAGAAGUAAGGGACAGAUUGAUAAAUUUAGCCUCUUCACGCAAGUGACCUUCACUCCCUGGAACAUGAAAAAUGACACAGAGAAAUUAGUGCCAUUAAGGCAAUCAACCAGAUGAAACAACCAGGCAAGCCAGUGAGCCCCCGAGUAUGGACUUGACCAUGUAAACACACCCAUAAACCUUGUUCUAUCAUUUUGUCGUCCAAAGAAAAAGAAAACAGAUAAAGAUAAAUGAUGAGUAAGAAAAGAGCUUUAUUCAGCUUUGGCGUAGAGAAUAUACCAGAUUUAUCCAAUCGCUCAGAUCCUGCAAGAUCAACUAUGAGCAGCUUGCUUUUCCGAAUUGUUGGAACAUGAUAUCCUGGUCUACCUGUUUUUUUAUCUACUUCUGUUUCCCGUAAAGAGAUGUCCAAUCCUUCUUGCUCGGGUACAGAUCUACGGAUAAAUACCUUGGGAAGAAGUUAUGUGUCAGUAGCUUACUAAAGGGACAAACAAAUUUUCAUGAUUAAAACAGAAUAUAUGGAAGCAAAAUGCAGUGGAAAAUCCUUGUUAUUAAAUGUGUUCUCGAAUAUUUUUAAAGAACUACCAAAUUGAUGAGGAAAGUUACAAUCUAUAAUUACCAUAAGAAUUGCAUGGCUGCGUGAUGAUUCUGUAUUUAAUUUUGUAUUAGCUGCAUGACGGUUUGCUUCACCCAUGUGCAGUAGUUGUACAAAUUGGUCCAUGCUAUUUAAUUUUACAACAGUGGCACCAGGGACUGAUACUUCUCCAGUCCUUCCAUCCUCAACGAUCGGGAUGUUUGUCUUUUCAGGUGCAAGCAAAUCUUGGAUAGAUUCCAUAUAAAGCUGUGAAACAACGUCUUCAGUGGUUAGCAGUGCAAAUCAACUAUUGGAUUGAGUCGUGUGACCAACAUGUUUGAAUACUUAACAAGUAAAAAAAUUUCAACACCAAGAUGACAAAUGUGUACAGUCAAAGUCUGAGAGUAUAAAAGACUACGAUCAAAAAAUUUAACUGAAAUGAUAACAAUAAUAUUUGGAAGUAUCCGAAAUGAAACAACAAAAAGAACAAACAGGUUAACAGGUUCAUCACCAUAAUUUUCAGUACCUGAAGGUAUGAAAUUUCCACACAAUCAGAUGUGGGAGAUGUAUUUGUAGUUAUGUCUUCUAAAGCUCUAACCAUGAUACCACGCUUGGAAUCAUCGUCUUUACCCACUCUACCAAGGGUAUAAGUCUUCCCAGUGCCUGUUUGACCAUAUGCCAUCACUGUCCCGUUGUAUCCAUCCAACACACUCUGCAAAAGUGAACGGCACCUCCUCUUUCGUGUCAAUAUCUUGUUCCAAUCAUCUCAAUAAGUUCAUUUCUUUUACAAGAAUUUAAAUGCUUGCUUUAAAGAAAGAAAAAUCAAAAUUUUUAUGAAUGGAAAGAAUUACCCUUUAAUUUUUGCAUGUUUAGCAAUGAUACCUCCACAAUUCUGUAUGGUAGAUAAGUUGCUGAAAGCAUAAAAAAAAAAAAAAAAAAGACUCGCCUAAAUAUAAAGUACAUGAAUUUUGCCAAUGUAUCCAUAUUUUGAAAAGAUAUAUUUCCAGUUUCGAUACAAAUUCUCUCAGAAGCUAUGAACUGGAAAGAAUAAUGUAUGAGCUGAUGUUUUCAAUAGCUGGGGGUUCAUACAAUGACGACUAGGAUUAUGGGUAUUAUACCCCCAAAAAGACCCAACUCCUUAUCGAGGCAUAAGCCCCAAAACCUGCUAAGUAAUAUACCCAUUCUCUAUUUUUUAUUUGAGCUGGCUGGUCCAGCAUUUAUACAGCGUUUAUACAGAUUCUCACCUUCCUUCGCAAGCAUAUUUGUGCUAGUAGACUCUUAGAUUAAUUACAGCGGUAGAAAAUACAAAAUAUAUCUGCCAUACUGAACUGAGAAAUAAAUUGAAUGAAGCUGAAAAAGUUGCUGCCGAGACAUAAAAAGCAGAGCAUCCGAGGUACAAACUUCUAAUAAAUGCAUGCAACCUUUUCUUUCCUAAUUUCUUUAUUCCUGAAUUGAUCAUAUCACCUAAGCAGUCUUGAUUCUUCCAUCUUUUACACCUUUCAGUUAAAUUCACAGUUAAAAUAACAUUAUACAUUUUUAGUAUGAAUUAUUCCAAUUUUUCUCUUAAGCAAAAUGAACUGAGUAUUGGAGAAAAAUCAGAGAAACAGAGUCACAAACAGAUAAUGGAUGUAUUCCAAAACCACGAUGCUUUGCGCUCUGCUGAUACUUACCUCAACAACCGAUUUAGCAACCACCUCAUAAACACGCUUUUGAGACGCACUUGUUGCAAAUACUUCAUCAAACCUAAAAUACUCAGCACUCCAAUUGUUUUUUCUCAGCUUUAACUUCUUGAGCUGCAGAACGAAAGACAUCUUAACUUCUUGGAUUAAAUAUACAGUGUGCAUGGUGAACAGCCACGAGAAGGAAGCAAUGAAGCAGACAGGCACACACAGCGAUUCCUGCACUCGGUUAAAUAAACUAACGCAGACAAAGAACGGGAGUGGCUGAAACAUAAGGAAAUGCAAUCAUCUUAAAAACCAUAACUUGUAUUUAUGAUCAGCACAAAAAGGAUGUUUGUUAUAUGUCAUAGACUCGUAGUUGCAUACGUCUGCAUAUUAAUCACCUCUGGCUGCACUUCAACACAAUCAGGAUAAUCAGCAUCUGAAAGAUCUGCUGCAAUUCUUGGACGAAUUCUGACAGCAACUCUUACUCUUCCAGGUUCUGCAGAUAUUUCAACAUUUUUAAUCAAUUUCUUACGCUGCAAACUGACUAUAAACCAAAAAAAAAUCUCAUAUCAGACCAAGGAUCAAACACCCUAAAAAAAGAAAGGCUGUAAAUGUUGUAAUCAAUGCUUGAUUCGAAACCAGGAUAUCUUUACACGUGGCCACAUACAGAGAUGUUAUUCACCUUCUUCAGAUGGUUUAAAUGAAGUUUCUUGUGUACUCAUAUUUAUGCUGCUAAACUUCUAGUAAAAAUGAUAGAGUUCAUCUAGUAACAAGCAAAGAAGGGAUCAUGUGCAUUGUGCCCAUACUGAAAUCAGAUACAAGUUUUAUAUGGCUCACAUUUACGUUUUUUUAACUUAGAUUCCUUAAGGGGAUCUUCUACAACAAGCAAUAAAGAUUAAAGACUACUGAUCGCUGGUGUAUAUUCAACCCUCAAAUUAAUGGCCAUAUUUCCUGUUCAUAUACUACAGAAAUAAGACUCUAGAACCACGUGCCACAAGCAUGAGGGCUUCAGGCAGAAAACAAGUGGAAUUUCCCCAGAGAACAUCCUUAACACAAAAUAAGUAGUUAGAAGAUCAUGAGAAGUUAAUCUGCAAAACUAGAAGAAUGAUGAGGCAGAUUAGUCUAAGACCUCUCCCAAAUUACAGUUCAAACAGUAUAAUUUCCGUUGACUCAGCGACUUCAAACGUGUAAUUCCAAAGAAGACGUGCUAGAAAACAUUUGGCACUGCUGGCCACAGUGCAGUACUUAAAGAGUAAAUACAUGCAUCAAAUAAGCUGGUGAACAAGGAGAUGAACCCUUGUUGAAUCAGUUUCGUUGCGUAGAUAGUAAUAAGGUCCUGGGUUCGAGUCCCACCAGUGCACCAGUUAUCAGCUAAGCAUGUAGAACAAGUUUACAUUGUAGACCAAACAAGUUGCCCGUGAAACAGGGAUGAGGACGAGGAAAAGAAAAAGGGGUUCUCCGAUAAAGUUUUGAUCUUUGUUUCAGUGCACAUCAUAACACAAACCCAGAAAACAAAACUCCAAAAAAUCGACCAAAUUAUUAUUCCAGGGAUUGCAAACACCGGGACUCAUACAGUCACAAUUCACAGGGCUUCUACUCUGUAUGGAAUCGGUCACUGAAGUAUUCGCACAAGAUGCUUUACGGCUUGUACAUAUCAAGAGUUGUACCUGAGAGACUAUAUAAUCAUUUCCUGAUUUACAAAGGACUAGGGAACUGAAAAGAGACAUGGAAAAACAAACCCGGAUCGUUGGAAAGACAAGAGGAGGAAAAAGGCGAAGGCGAACGAGUCCGAGAACUGGGAGUCAGGGAACGAGAGCGUCUUGAAGUAGGAAUACCGUUAGUAGAAGAAGACAAUGAAGUAGGAAUACUUGAACGAGAACUUCUUGAACUAUUCACAUUACUCGCAGCAGAUGCAGAAGCAGAAGUAGAGAGAGGAGGCCUCUCCGACCUGUGUGACGAUGACGGCCUUCCCACAGAUGCAGUAGUCGAAGAAGACGACGCCAUUCAAUUCAAUCGGUAUUCCUGGUAGCAAGAUUGAACUCAAUCAAUCAAUAAUGUUCUACCACUCUGCAUAGCAGCAGUAAGCAGUAUUUGAAAGGGGAAAAAAGAAAGAAGAAGAAGUUGGUUUCAGUUUCACAAAUGGGACGGAAGAAUAUUGGAAAAAUGGGAAAACAAAAUGGAGAAAUGGGACGCGUCGUUGAGGCCGGCACGAUUGGAGGAAGAUCUCGUCACAGAUCAUACAACUAAUACUUCAGAGUUCCGAAAGGGACUGCCAUUGGAUUAUAUUGUUAACUAUUUUGCAAAAUGGAAUAAAAAUAAGCUUUUUAAGUUCCCGCGUAAUUCCGGUUCCGCUCCUUGCCUGGCCAUAUGUCAGUACACACUGUACACAAUUUUUUGUACGUUCUGUUCUCAGACAAAUGCAACCAAUUGCCUACCAAAUGAGUGCGUUUCAGUAUGAUUUUGGGGGAUUAAUGACUGCAAUUUCUACAGUAGACUCUAGUCAGUUUGUUUCUCCGGCAUUACUCGGCGCUGAUAAUGAUAUGAUGGAAUUUUUACAUUCAGAUGAAUGAAUGGAAUGGAUGUAAAGGAGAAGAAUGAACCGCUUCUCGACUUUGAUACCAAUAUAUGAUUUUGAUGCUACAUGAUUACCCUUCAAGGCAACCUUUUGGCUUUCCCCACAUCAUCCUCCAUUGAAAUUUGUCAACUUCUAUCUUUCAGCCGUCUCAAGUAAGUGAAGUCAAAAUUCUACAACGAUCAUGGAUACUUUACAUCUGCCGAUCGUUACAGCUAAAUUAACAGAUCUAUGAGGCGGUUUUUUUUUUUUGCCCUUUUUAGGUUUGACAAUUGGUGAAGCCAAAUCUGUCACGAUAAUUUUUUUCUUAGUGAAUCAAAGAUGAUAGUAUAAUCUUUACCCUUAAAAGGUCCUUUUCACUCCAUGCACACUACAUUGAGAAUCAAAAUGUUUCGUCAUGUUGUAUCCCUACAGUACACAGAGAGGUAGGACAACAUGUGAACCUCAACAUGGGUUGCCGGCCGACACAGGUUGUACUGUCAUCUCUUUCUUCAAUUAGGAUGACAUUGACCACGUUAAUGCAUUUCACACACAAAUAUCUUCGCCUUCUUAUUCUGCUCAUCCUUCUAAUUUGCCAUUCACGAACACCUUCAAGUUACCUUUUUCUUCUUUUUCUUUUUUCCAAAUGGUGCAUUCUCUGGCUUGCCCCAGACAUCAGGAACAAGGCAAAAAUUUGCUAGCAUGAGAUUGUAUGUAUAAAACUCGUUUCUGCACCGUAGGUGAUAUGAACUUAAACGAGAAUCUGGUGAAUCAUCCUCACUGCAUCUACCGUUGUGGUGCGAAAUCAUAAUAUACUAUCUUUGCCAUUUGGUUGGUAUGCUACAAAAUGCAUGACUUGCAAGCAUUGCAUCCGAAAUCUGAGUCGAUAUUUGUCAUUUACAUAUCAACACUGGGUAGACGUCCUGGUAUAUUUUGCCACUCCUGGUAUAAGAAGUAUAAACAAUUUUCAACAUGUAUCAUCUGACCCGCGGCAAGGACUCUCCACUUGAAAGAAGCUCUAGACACCCGAGCCGAACCCCAGGCAAACUUGACUUGCAGCUGCAGGAAAUUCUACUUCCAUCUGUUUCAGCAUUAAACAGUGCAAGACCAACUCCCGCCAAGUAGACAAGACAGAUGUCCACAUUCAACUUUUGAGGUGAACAGGCGAUCCAAAAAUAACUGCAAGCUCCAUCAUUUUGGAAAUCAGUUUCAGCUCUUCCAACCCAGUGCUCGGAGAUUAGCUUGCUUCAGUUCAACAUGCUUUCCAAUCCUGUCAGCAGAAAAAUUACCCUGAGUUACACAGUUCACAAUGUCUUGUAGCUAAAAAUCUUUCCGCUCAGUUACCUCAUGCAAAAUAGAGAUGAUGGAGUUCCUAACAAUUUACUGCAAUAAAUAAAAUCGUGCUUGUUUUAUUGCAAUAGACCAAAGAAGCAGAGAAUACACGGGCACAUAACUAAGCAAACUCCAGAGCACCAGAGUCGAGAGCUUUUGCCUUAACAUGAAAACCACGUAGUGUCCAAGAAUAUCUAUUUAUAUAUGGCUAAUUCAAGCAAACUUCUAGUAUUACUGGAGAGAUCAAGCACAGCUUUAAUCAGCAUCAAUGGAAUAGCAGUAUGCAACUCAUUGUCCAAGAAAAUAUGAAAAGCAAAGCUACUUUUACUCCCUCUGCAGGGAGAAGGAUUGUGUCCUAUAGUUAUUUGAAAUGAAGACUCCCUGAUAUAAACACUCAAGUUUUUAUCACUGGAUCAGAGAAAACGGGGUACAGAGAAAAAAGAUGCAUAAAUAUUGAUCCCAGAUACCCAAAUAACAAAAGAAAAGGUCUCAGAUGCUUAGCACACAAUUCUCAAGCAUUUCUAAGGAGCAGAAAGUAAUAGAAAAAAAUGUUAAUUUUACAAAACCAUUAGCCAUUCAGAAUGGACCAUGCGUUACAAGUCUUUUGAUCCUCAGGGUUAAAUCAUGCCUUAGCCCACGGAGGGGAGGAGAAAGGGAACGGAUAAAAGAAACAGACUGAACAAGCAUCUUUUGGCUAACAACGAAAUCUAACCAUCUAAAGUUGCCAAAAAUUAUCUUACCCAAGAUCUGAUGGAAGCCUGAAACCACCAAUGCGUAUGCGCUUCAGUGCAUGAAUCUGAAAUAGAAGAAACACGAAAAGGAGUAAGAAAACAAUUCAUUUACAGUCAACAAAGGGAAGGCAUACAUAAAACUUACAACAAGAAGAACAUAAGUGGACAGACAUAAGUGAUCUAUGCUCAAGACUGCCACUGACAAUAUUGAAGUACAAUAGAUUUACAGAAAGAAAAAUGAAAAAAAAAAAAAGAAUGUCGAAAGUGAGCAAGGCAAGGAUCAGAAGAUAAAAUUCUGUAAACUCAAUUCUUUAUCAGUAUCAGAAUUCAUAAAGCGCAAAGGUCCAAGGAUGGAUUUUAAAAGGAAGGGCAACACUCCUUAAUACUUCUCUCCACGAGUGAAAAGAAAUGGGAUAGCACCAUUGGAGCAUUUAUUAGAAGCCCACUACACAUUCCUGUCUAAAAGAUUAAAAUGAAAUUUGGAAGGUCAGAAUCCCUGUCAACCUGUUUUCCAAAUUUGACUAGUUGAGAAUUCAAGUAUUUCACACCAAAAGCUUUUUAAAAAGAACAGAGAGACAGAAAAAGACAGAACAUUUUAGCAAUUAAUCAAGAUAAGAAUCAGAUGAAGAAACAGAGGAAACAUCAUAUUAGCCAUUAAUCAAGAUAGGAAGCAGAAGAAACAUUUUCAGAAGCUAAAACACAUCUCAGAAACCAAAAACUACCUCAAGUCCAGCAUUUUUUACAAGUUCCCGCACUUCAUGAUUUCUUCCCUCAUGAACCUGCACCAUUAAAAGUAAGUGGAGGUCUGAUCCAUUAUCUUUUCCUUAUCUGCAUAAAUAAUGACACAACAAAGGCCAGAAUGACAAAUGGAGACUACAAUUCAUCAAACAAAAGCAUGAUUUAUUUGUCAGUCAGGACCAUAGUUUUGGGUGGACAACAGACUCGGAAGUCCAUCACAGGUAGACGAGUUUCUGCCAUCCAUAUACUUAAUACAUAUACAGCAUGUUUUUUUUUUGGCUUUAUUCAUGAGUCGUUACCAACACAAAGCAAUAACUUGAGACUUUUAGUUAUUUCCCCCCUUCUUCUCAUUAUUCUAAUAAUUAUUGCAUCGGAAGAGGGAAAAGAGGAAGGUGAUGACAGCAUGGAGAUGACCACCCUAUAAAAGAUUACCUUGUCAGUGUUUGAGAAAGAAAUUAAAAGGAAAAGGAAAACAACUGCAAAGGCCUUUUAUACAAGAACACCAGGAAAUGCUAGGCAGAAAACAAAAAUCAAAAGAAAAAGGAAUAGACUAGUUCCUUAACAGUUGUAAAUAAGUCCAGUAUUCUCAGAAGAGAAAAAUUAAUACCACAAUCCGAAUUCGUGGUCUUGACAGAUCUGGCUGCGGCGGUAGCAGCUCUACAAUAUCCGGGGCGCAUUGAACGCCUUCAACAACAGUCCCUUCACUAAUGGUAAUCAAAUGUCGCUUAUUGACGGAACCAUCAAUAGUUGCAAUAUAUCUAUAGCAAUACAUUUCAGUAAGAUUCAGUAUAUCAGGUAAGUAAGCACAUAAUGUUGAAUGCUUGACCACUGCUGAAACUUACUCUUUUAAUACUGAAUCAAACGAUAGGAAAGCAGAAUGAAUUCUAAAAUAAGUAUAAGACAUGAAAAGCAAGAAUCCCAUUCAAAGAAUGGACAAAAAUAUCAACAAGAACUUACUCCUUGGAUAAUUUAGAAGAAGGAUGUGAAAGCUUCUGAGCAAAAUCCCCUAAAACAAAAGUAAUUCAACAAAUACCAGUACCGUAUAAACAUCAUUAUUAGUAACAUCAAUGAGUCAAAAUAAAAAAUACCAUCAUUUGUAACUAUAAGCAAUCCAGUUGUGGCAACAUCAAGACGACCAACAGUAAAUAGUCGUGGUUUUGGUAGUCCAGGGUUCCUUUUAUCCUGAGAAAAAUGCAAAAAAUACUCAUAUGUCAAAAUAAAGCCCUUGCUGGAGGUGCCAUCAUAUUAGUUUAGGGAUAUAGAACACUUUAGUUGCAAUGUCUAGCGCAAAAUACAUAACAAUUCAGCCCAACAUACCCAACUAUUCAUAAAAUCAUUGAACAGAGACAGCACGGACUUCGUCUCCUUCUCUCCAGCCGAGCAAAUGUAACUGCAAGAUUAUACUGUUUUCAGCUUAUAGAAAAAGUGCAUGAUUCAAACGUUGAAGUCUCAAAUACUAAUGACAAGUUACAUAGAUAGACGUUGAUAACAAACCCUUUCGGCUUGUUUAGCGCAAAAUAGACCUUUGGGGGCAGUUUCUUGGGCAGGCGGUUCCCGUUGACAUAGAUCACAUCCCUAACAGGAUCAACUCUGGUCUGAUCCAUCACACAAGCAAAUAAAUGCCAUACUUCAUCACAAGAAACCAUAUCAUAAAAAAAAAUGGUUUUCUUCUUUAACAGUGCAGCUGUCUAACCUGAGGAGUAUUGCAUACAGAACCAUUAACAGUCACUUUACCUCCGAAAAUAAGCUCUUCGCUGUUUCUUCUUGAUGCCACUGUCAAAUCAAACCCAAUCAUACAGAAACAUUAAAUGUAAUUCAACAUUUUCCAUCCACAAACAUCACUAGCCGCCGUAGAGUAUGACAGCUUAAGUAUACUAAAACUUUGUAUCAUCAGACAGUAAAUUGUCUCAAGAAAUAGUAAUGCGUCCAUUAGACAAAUGAUACUGCGGUCACGCAGCACACCCCUCAUAAUAAGAAACGCUUUAAAUUUAACAAUACAAUUACAGCAAAAUAAGUGCAAUUUACAACCAAUAGAGCACAAGGUACACCGCCUCGUGCCGUAGCAUCCUCAUUUAUUUGAUAAAACUGAACUAAAUAACUAAAUAAGCAGUGAAGCAUUUUUGUUACCUCCAGCAGCAGCUAAGACCUUACUAAGCCGCUGAGGCGGGUCCCGGAAAUUCUCAUUAUAAAACCGGCGGGCAGCCUUGGAGAACUUCGGCUCAGCUGUGGGAGAAGCCGGCUUUGCUUUAGAGUCUUUCUCUUUCUUCUUCUUCUUCUUCUUAGUCUCGGCAUUGCCCAUCGCGUGAAGUAGACGAGCCGGAGGAGUAGACUGGAGGGUGAGGUUGCCAUUCUCGUCGCGGACAAUCCACGGGAUGUAGAGUUGGUCAUCCAAUUCGCUAGCUGAGUCAUGGCCCGGAGUUUCAGUGGCGGAUUCGGAUGCGGGUUUGGGCUUGAGCUUGGGCUUGGGAGGGGCGAAGGUGAUGUUGAAUUCAGGUGUGGUGGAGGGAGCGGAAGAGAGUGAGGAGGCAAUUAUGGUGCGGAGAUGGCGGUGAGUGGUGCGGGUGAGAGGAAUAGCGGGUUUGGUUAGGUGGAGGGUGGCGAAAACCGUGGAGGCGGCGGCAGCUACUGCGGCCAUUAGCGCCGCCAUGUUCAGUGGAGCUGGGGUGGAGUGGCAAACGGCGAUGGGGGCUUAAGUCGAGAAUUUAGAUAAGUAGAGGGAGAUUUUAUCUCAAGCUUUAAUUCCAAUAAAGCCCUCUGCAGUUUGGCGUCUCCGGCAGAGAAUAAUUAAUUAUGAUACAUCUAAGGUCCUAAACUAUAAUGAUUAAUUCAUGAUUUGGUCACUCCAAAUCUCUGACCAAUUUGUUUGGCAAGUUAAUUACAGUUGCCACCGUUAAAUUUGAUUCUUUAUAGCUAGUUUGAAUCAUUGAGUCGAAUUUAUAGUUUCCCUUCUUAGAUUCCUAUAAUUAAAAAACUUGUAAAUCAAUUACCUUCUCCCCAUAAUUGAUUUAUAUGUCCUUUUCCCUUUUUUUAAUAAUUCAUCACUACCAAAAUUUUAGAGUGUCCAUUAGCAAAUUAAUGACUCUAUCCCUUUUUUUCUCUCUCUUAUUUUAAAUCAAUUGUCCUCCAAUUAGUUUCAUUGCACUCUCUGACAGUCCAAUUAGAAAAAAAAAAUUAAAGAAUUGCAAAAUCAAUCACCUUCUCCCUUGCAUCUACGCUCAUAUGGCACUAAUUUGUGUUUCUUUAUAAAUUAGUCGUUUAUUGAAUAUUUCGUUUGCUUUUCCUUUGGAAAAAGGUAUCAAAUUGUGAAUUACUGAUCAAUACGGUCCGUGACACAUCUAAUUCUUUAAAAUGGUGCUUCACCACAUUCAGCCCGCUCAAGUGACUGACUGGAUAUGGUGCAUCAAGGUGUAAACUAAUCAUUAAUUUAGUUAUAAUUUUACUAGUUGUAUUCCAAUUACUACCUUCAAUUUUUGUCCUUUUUUGUCCAGUAAAGUAUUAGAUAUCUUGAGUUUUACUAUUAAAUAUCGGUUUCAAAUAUUCACCUUUUUCUUGAAUUUAUUCCUUGAAGAUAAAAGAAUAUGAGAAAUUUAACAAAAUUAUAUCCUUAUACUAUUUAAAAAUGGGUUGUGGUCAAAGGAGUUUUGAAUUUCAAUCGUAUGGAUAGGAGAUUUUUGGAAGUGUGAAAUGUUAUGUAGUUUUUUAAAAGUUUUGGGUACAACUAAGGGCAACAUGUGUUUAGGUAUAUUUAACGAAAUACCCUCAUUUUUUGUACAUUUAAAGUUUUGAUUUAUGGAAACAUCUGGAUAUUUCUGAAAUAUGAAAUUGGGAGUGUUUGGAUACAAAACUUAUCCAAAAUAAUAUUUCGCUUGCAUCAUAAACACAUUUUCCAACCCACCUUUUUAUAUUCCCAACCACCUUUUUAUCUCACAUACAUCACAUCACAAAAAGUGCUACAGUAAUUAUUCCAAAUAAUAUUUCAAAUAAUACACUAUUCAAAUAAUACAUUAUUUUACGACCGUUUUUGCAUUGAGUACAAUUUAUAUAAAUUUAUGUGUUGAUAUAAUUACUGAAAUGAUGUUAUAAACACAUUUAAUUGAUGUGUGACUUUUGUUAUGUAAUUAACACAAAGACAUAUUAACACGUUGUGCAAUUAACAUAUUGCUAUAAUUAAUCGUUGAAGGAUAUCCCUCUGAAACAACUUAUAUCUGCUCUUCGACGAUUUUCAACUUGCUUCUAUAGGGACUUUUUUGGAACAUUCCCACCUAAUACAUUAGCAGUAUAUAUAAAAUUAAUUCAUACAAAAAUUGUUUAGGGGCAGUAUAAUAUUCCAAAGUUCCGGUAUAUUUCAUUCAUUUAUUUGUACUUUUUUGAAUCUCUUUUUGAAGAAAAAUGAAUGAAGUGUCAUUUCUGGCAAAUAUAAUAUUCAUCUUACAAGGAUCCAAAGCACUUUUCGAAUUCCAACGCAAAAUAUGUAAACCGAAUCGAUCCUUCGAAUCAAACUUCCAUUCCUCCGCUCCAUCAGAAAACAAAAUACUAACUCCAUUCCUCCGGCCCUCCAAUUAGUCCCACCACCGCCACUUUCUACUUUCUAUGGCCACUUCCAUUCGUCUCCGCCGGCUGGGAACCGUCGCCCUCGCAGCCGGUGGUGCAUAUACUAUUCUCCGUGACCCCUCAAUAUCCGUGAACGACAGAGGUGGUGGUUCUGCUUUACAGAUUGUAAAGCAGAAAAUUGCAGACCCGUUUGCCGUCAUCCCCUGCCGAGCCGUUCAGGAGUCAGCUCUUAUGGGCGCGAGUUUAGCCAACCCUCUUGACGUACUGGUUGUUGGUGGUGGUGCCACCGGCUCCGGCGUCGCCCUCGACGCUGCCACGCGUGGCCUUCGUGUUGGGCUUGUCGAGCGCGAAGACUUCUCCUCUGGGACUUCUUCAAGGUCUACUAAAUUAGUUCAUGGAGGUUAGAAUUUCAAAUUUAAAUAAGUGCACAGUUAUUCAGUAAUGUUCAGACGAAUCGUUGGUAAGUCUGGCAAAAUGACUAUAUAUGGUUAAAUUUCUAAAAAUUUAUUGAUCUUUUGGGUUACAGAUAAUGAUAUAUAUUGGCAAGGACGCAUAGUAGUUGACUAUAUAUAGAUAAAUUGCUAAAAAAUGAUUGAUCUUUUGGAAUACGAUUAAUGAUAUAUAUAUCGUUAAGGACGCAUAGUAUUUAUUCAUCGUUGAAAUCUCCUUUCUAUGCAUGUGGCAUGCGGGAAAUAAGCUUUUUUGUGCUCAAUUGCUAGUUAUGGUCAGAAAGGCUUGAUCUUUUUGCUCUUGAGGUAUUGGGAUUUAGUCGCUUAGGUAAUAGUGUUGAAGAUAGAAUAGAUAGAGGUAACAUUAAAAGUUGGUGGUUGAUGUCUACUACCCUACUCUAUCAUGCAGAAGGUCAGGAGUGAUUAGAAACUUUUGCAGUAUCUUUUGCUUCUGUGUAUUGGCAUAAGGUCAUUGAGAGAGCAGUGAAGAUGAAAAGAUAGAUAAAGAAAAGAGAAAUUUGGUAGCUCGGCAUUUUAUGCGUGCUCCAUUGUGGAGGAUGUCAGGACAAUUUUAUGCGUGCUCCAUUGUCCUGGUGGCUAUAGACAGGACAAUUUUUGCCAAGAUUUAGUGCCAAGACAGUUGUGUGGUGAGUGUGCUUGAUGUGAUAUGCUGUCUUUCAGUGUAUUUGGGAACCUUGAAUCUAGAUGUAGAAUGUCUUUCAGUAUAGUUGGGAGCUAUGGUUAGAGUUUAUAUUAUAGUUGUCCGCAGUUUAAGCUUAGUUUGAAAUGCGGAGCCAGUUUAAGCAUAUGCAGUAAAUGAAGCAACAUAUAAAGGGUGGAUGAUCGAGGGUGGGCACAGAACUUCCCUUUUUUGUCAUAUAUUUAGGGGAAGGGGCAUUUCAUCUGAGUGAAAUUGGUGAUAUUUGUGUUUAUAAGAUUGCUUUUAACUGAAUUGGUGAAUGCAUUAAGUUUCAAAGCACUGGAAGGUCUUCAUCCUAAAUUCAUGUGUUGCUACAAAUUGUCCAGCAUAUGAUGAUCUCUCGGUUAUUAGAUCUGCCUAUCUAAGUUUGAGUACAGAAAUUAUCAUCAUGGUCUAGAUGUGAUGUGAGUGGACUUCGAUAUUUCAAGCAUAGGCGUUCAGUAACUGUAGUAUCAUUCAAGAAAUUUCAAGUUUAAAGAACUUUAGAAGCUCACGAGUUCAAUCAUUGGAUUUUUCAAAAUGGGAAAUGUUUGCUACUUGCAGGUCAAAGCACAAUUUUGACAAACCUUAUGAAAAUUUGCUCAUCUGUCUUGAUAUUAUUGGCUAGCAUGAGCAUGAUAUCAUUCUAUUGAUAGUAACUGGUAAGUUAAGUAGUCUAUGUCGAUCAUUGCAAUCAUCUCAUAGUUGAUAUUCUUUUGUUGGUGCUUAUGACUCUUCAGAUUUAAUUCCACCCAAUUUAUCCUGUACCAAUCUCCCAGGUUUUGAAAAAAUUCAUUGAUCAUGUAUGAUGGCAGCUCAUAAUGGACUCUAACGAGUUUAGAACAUAUUAUACAACUUUUUCCAAAAAACCCCACUUUCAUGUAGUUCUGUUAUUAUACUUUAGAAUCAACAGGGCAUUAUUGCACAUUUUUUGCAUUUAAGCCUUGGUGCUUAUUAGAAAGUAUCUUUUACAGGAGUUCGCUAUUUGGAGAAAGCUGUUUUUAACUUGGAUUAUGGGCAGUUAAAGUUGGUUUUUCAUGCACUUGAGGAGCGCAAACAGGUUAUUGACAAUGCUCCCCACCUCUGCCAUGCUUUGCCAUGCAUGACGCCGUGUUUUGACUGGUUUGAGUUGAUCUACUACUGGAUGGGCUUGAAAAUGUAUGAUCUGGUUGCUGGCCGCCACCUGCUACACGUGUCCAGAUAUUAUUCUGCUCAGGAGUCUCUAGAACUAUUUCCUACUCUAGCAAGGAAUGGGAAAGAGAAAACUUUGAAGGGCACGGUGGUUUAUUAUGAUGGACAAAUGAAUGACUCAAGACUCAAUGUUGCAAUAGCAUGUUCUGCUGCUUUAGCUGGGGCAGCUGUGCUUAAUCAUGCAGAAGUAGUGUCACUUCUCAAGGAUGAUGUUACUGGCCGCAUAAUCGGUGCACGCAUUCGCAAUAACUUAUCUGGUACAAUAAGAAUUACACUACCUCUUGCUUUGUUAUUUUACUUUCCUUUCCAACAGUGCAUUUUAGAGCAGUGUAGCGUGUACAAUGUGUUUAUAUUUCAACUGGAUUCAGGCUGGUGUAGAAUUUUUACUUUCCUUUCCAACAGUGCAUUUUGGAGCAGUGUACUGUGUACAAUGUGUUUGUAUUUCAACUGGAUUGAGUCUGGUGUAGAAUUUUGAGUCUAUCAUUUUCGCUUACAGCAUCUCAGCAUUGUACAGUUUUCCUUGUAAAUUGUGUUUCUUUAUGAGUUGCAGUUCAUGAGACUACUUAUUUGAGUAAAAACACUGGUUCAUAAUCCAACUCUCUCUCUUAACCCAUUGCGUAAAACAUAAAAAAGCAUAUUUUUCUCAUUGCAUUUACUAAUUUUUUUAAAAAAAUUUCCUUCCCCUCUUGUACUCAUUCCUCUGUGUACUCUCAGGUCUCAAUAUUUUCAUCCUGUACCAAUUAGCCAAUGUCAUCGACUUGCUCUUAGAGAUCUUACUUUUUAAAGUGUGCAGGCAAGGAGUUUGAUACAUAUGCAAAAGUAGUUGUCAAUGCUGCUGGACCAUUUUGUGAUUCUGUGCGGCAAAUGGCUGACAAAAAGGCAAAACCAAUGAUCAUUCCUAGUAGUGGUGUGCAUAUUGUGCUACCUGAUUACUAUUCACCUGAAGGAAUGGGCCUCAUAGUUCCAAAAACUAAGGAUGGUCGUGUUGUCUUCAUGCUCCCAUGGUUGGGGAGAACAGUUGCUGGUACUACAGAUUCAAACACCUCCAUUACAAUGCUACCAGAGCCUCAUGAGAAUGAGAUUGAAUUCAUAUUGGAUGCUAUAUCUGGUUAUCUGAAUGUCAAGGUUUGUUGGUUUGCCUAACUUGAUUUCGUAUCGAGUGCUGAAUCUCAGUCACCUAACUUAUAUGUGAUUCAAUGCAUAAUCUGUCAUUAGCCUUAGAGGACCUUUUAAUUUAUUUGAUUAGAUGAAAUCCAAAGUGUUAUUCACUGCUGGUAUUUCGUUGGGUUAUCUUCAACAUUUGUAUGGAUUAUAAAGUUGCAGAAUGCUUUAAAUAUCAGGUUCUUAGUUCUUGUACAGCAUAUUGACUACUGUAAGCUAGUUUGAGGCAUUGUUUGGUCUAGUCUAAAACUACUAGACUUAGUUUAACAUUUUGUUGAGUUUUUGCUUGCAUUUGAUGUUAGCAUUUUGGUUUCAAGAAAUUUGGGGAUCAGGAAAAGGCUGAUGAGCGCAAGUUGCAUGUGAUGAAUCUGCCAUGGUAAAACCAGUUAAUUAGCUAAUAUUCGAUUGUGUUGUGAACUCUUCUUGUUCUUUUAGGUCUCUUGUAAAUGGUUUCAUGUGGUUUUGAAGUGUGUUCUUUCUUUUUUCCUUAAUGUUAUAUUUGUAUAAUAUCUUGUGGGGACUAAAAGUUUGUCAGAAAACUAGGUUCGGCGCACAGAUGUACUUUCUGCUUGGAGUGGUAUUUGUCCAUUGGCAAUGGAUCCUAAAGCAAAGAACACAGAGAGCAUUUCCCGUGAUCAUGUUGUUUCUGAAGACUACCCUGGUUUGGUAACAAUUACCGGUGGUAAAUGGACUACAUAUAGAAGGUAUUUCGUUUUUUUCCUUUUGGUUUACUGAAUUAGAAGCAUACCUUUUAUAUCCUCACUUCUCGGCAUUCACACCUGAGCUCACUUAUUGUGUCAAGUAUAUUCUAGUGGUUAGCUAUCUUCUGAGUUUCUUUUGAUAAGAUUCUUGGGGUGGAGAUGUUAGUAAGCAGAAUCAACAUUUUUCUUACAUUUAUGCCCCAGUGCUUGCUUCUUCUUUUUUUUUUUUCAGCAUUGUGGACAAGUAUUUUUUUUUCCUAAUGACAAUCUGUUUCAGCAUGGCAGAAGAUGCUCUUGAUGCUGCCAUAAAGUCUGGGAAAUUGAACCCAACCAACAAAUGCUUAACAUACAACAUACAACUCGUAGGUGCUGAUGGGUGGGAACCUGCGUCUUUCACCAUACUAGCGCAACAGUAUAUGCGCAUGAAAAGGACAUAUCGUGGAAAUGUUGUUCCAGGAGUGAUGGAUACUGCUUCAGCAAAGCAUUUAUCUCAUGCGUAUGGUACUCUAGCUGAACGAGUGGCUGCAAUAGCUCAGGUAUACUAGUUUAACUCUUUUUAUUUGUUUGUGCAAUUAUUUCUUUGAUUCAAUAAUCUUUUGCAAUUUAUACUAAGGCAUUUUGAUAGAUUUAAUUCCCUGGAGUUCAUUUAUAGCUUCUACAUUUACAUAUUCCUAGCAAGUCUGAUUAUCUCCAUUUCCUUGCUUUUUUUUUCUUUUCAAAGAAAUCUUAUUUGAAUAUUCAUGUGCAACUAUCUCAUGCGGAGCAGGGGAUUUGCAUAUGUCAUUUGAUUGUGAAUGAGUUUUUACUUGAUCGGGGGAUUUGCAUUUGUCAUUUGAUUCUGAUUGAGUUUUUACUUGAUCGGGGGAUUUGCACUUGUCAUUUGAUUCUGAUUGAGUUUUUACAUGAUUUUUUUUCUUAAAAAAAAAAAAAAAAUCAAGAAUGAGAACCUGGGGAAGCGACUUGCCCAUGGAUACCCGUUUCUGGAAGCAGAAGUAGCAUAUUGUGCUCGAAAUGAAUACUGUGAAUCUGCUGUGGAUUUUAUUGCCAGAAGAUCUCGGCUAGCUUUCCUUGACACAGAUGCUGCAAAUCGGGCUCUACCCCGCGUGAUUGAGAUUCUGGCUGCUGAGCACAAAUGGGACAAAUCAAGGCAGAAAGAAGAACUAAAGAAGGGUAGAGAAUUUUUAGAGACCUUCAAAUCAUCAAAGAAUGCUCAGUUCCAUGAUGGGAAACACAAAUAGUAAGGAGUCGUGAAUGUAUAUCCCAAAAGAGUUGCUAAUCUCCUCUUUUGUCAGGCAACUGCUUCAGGGCAACAAUGACUUGUACAACGUAGGUGUAGCUUUUCAGUUCUGCAUGAACGGUCGUUGAUUGCCCCAUCUCUCAUCAGCCAUCAGCCGAAAUAAUAUCAAUUUGGAUGUCAUCCAUAUAUAUACGAUACUAAUUUGGAUAUCUUUACUCUUUUUGUGCAAGAUGUCUAUUGGGAAGACAAAUGAGCCUAAAUAAUCCUUCUUUUGGAUGUCAUCUGUUUGUGCAAGAUGCAUGCAGUGAAGACACUUGUGGCUCUAGAUUUAAAGUGUUUGCUGAUCUCUGAAAGUCAUCUAUAUAAUAUAUUCGACAGACACAAAAUUUACCCCACACACAGUGCUGGCAGCAUUGCUUCUGGACUAGUACUACUUAGCCAUGGAUUGGUACCGUAAUGGCUUUUCAGAUUAUAAGAUUCUCAUUGAAAUAUGUAUGGUGGAGUCAAGUGUUUAGAGCAUUUUCGUGAAAAAGAAAAUGAGGCAGCCCUGCCCCUUUUGGCUCUCUGGGCCAUUCGCCAUGGAUACGUUUAUAUCCUUUUUACAACUCAUAUGAAAGUUAAUCCGUUGACUCUAAUCCUUCUUUACUCCUUUUGGCUGCUAACCAUUGUUGCCUUCUUCACCCUAUUAGUCAGUUAUCAUCAUUUUGUUGGUGUUUUUCUUAUAGCUUCACCGGUUAUACAGGUUUAGGUUAUGAAAUACAAUUUUGCUAAACCGCUACAUACAGUUAGGGUCAACAAAAUUACAAAUGAACUGGUUACCCGGUUCAUGAACACUUCUAGUAACAUUUUCAUGUUUUUGAGAUAUUCUUUGACAUGUCUUUUAAUUACCUUACUACAUUUUUAUCCAACAAAAAUUACAUCCCAGCAAGGUGCUUAUUAUUUUUUGGGAACUAGAGAAUGUGAUAAAAAUGGAGCCAUUGUUUCUUGUAGAUCUCAGCACUUUGUCUAAUAUAUCAUGUUACCAUCAAAAGAAACACAAAAAAAAAGGAAAACAUUUGAUACGUGAAAGAGGAAAGACGCUUAUCUUAAUCGUUUUUUAAAACUCUAUUGUAUUUUGAAUUUUUUUACACACAUUUAGCGUUCACCUGACCUACCGUAUAUAUACAUACAUAUCCUAAUAAUUAUUAUUCUUCAUUGCAUUUAUAUACUUUCUUUAUUUAAUAUUGCCUACCUUCCCUUAUAUUUAUUUACUUUUUUUAAUUAAUAUUAUAUUUUAAAAAAUAUAACACUUAAAAUAUAUCUUAACCAAUUUUUUUUUUUUUUUUGUGAAGAGAGGCUGAAACCAAAAUUACAAGACUAGAUAGCGAAUUGCACCCAUCACAUCGAAUGGCUAGAACGACGAAUUAACAGUAUCUGGUGGAUCUUACAAAAGAGCAACCCCAAAUUGCACAUUAGGAGCUGCCAUAGCCGAAACAUGUACACCCGUCCGUCAGCCAAUAUAGAAGCACCUUUGGGCUGAUGAAAUCAAGGCUGGCACUACGAGCUGAAACAUUGGGCCUUUCGGGGGCUAUUACCUCAUUGUUGCUAACUAGCCAAGCCCGUAAAAGAGCCCCAGCUAAUAGCCCUUUUAAAUCAUCACCUUCGUUCUAGCAAGCUCUCACAGAAUUAUCAAACACGAAGGUCAGGAGAGGGAAAAAUUAAUGGCGCAAAUUCCUAAUUUAGACAAUGCUCCCAUUAAUCUCACCUCAAUUAGGUUUGUUAAUUAUCAAUUGUGUUAAUGGAUAUUUAAAUUGCUUCAACUACUUAUUUACUCCAGAAUUAAUCUUGCUUCUCUGUUUUCUUUUUUUUUGUGGGUGAAAUUCAGAGAUCAGUCUCAGAAAGAACUUCUUACUAUCCUGAAAAAUGUAAGUUACAUACUUCAGUUUACUCUUUUUUUUUUCCCUCUGGGUGACAGUUGAAUUAAUUUGUAAAAUAAUUCGAACAAUUCAAUUUUUUCAUUUUUGUGGUGAUUUUUUUUUAUUGGUAGAUUCGAGGAAAGAAAUGUUUAGCUAUCGAUCCCAAGCUUGGUGGUUCGCUUUCAUUGAUCGUCCAGAGCUCACUUCUCAAGGCAAUUCCCUAUUAUUCUUUUUUGUUAAUACAAUUUUGGCCCCAGUCAGUUGUGAUUUCUAUCACUAUACAUUUUCAGCUCGCUAAUUGAGUUUUUUAGUUAGUAAGAUUGUCUGAGUUAUGGGUAAUCAAUGUUUUCUUUUGUGCAUUUUCUCGAAGAUUUAUCGCUCGGUUUAGUGAAAAAGCAUAAGAACAUUUUUGCUUAAUUUUGGGUGUAACCUUGAUCGAAGCAAAAACUGUUAUCUAAAUUGUAGUAAUGAAGUGUGGCUUCUUAAUGUGUGGACUAGGGAGUCAGAGUUUUGCUGAAAUUAGUCAAUUCUAAAGGUGUUUUGAUAUGUACAACAGGAACAUGGGGCUGAAUUGCGUCAUCUUACUGCAGAACCAAUUCAAACUGAUUGCACCAAGGUCGUUUACCUUGUCCACAGCCAACUUGACUUGAUGAAAUUAAUUUCCUCACAAAUUCGUGAUGAUACUUCAAAGGGUCUUCAAAGAGAGUAUUUUGUUUACUUUGUUCCUCGUCGUACUGUUGUGUGUGAGAAAGUAAGCUCCCUUUCCAAGUAAGUUUGUUAAUGCGUCUUUACUUGUUUGCUGAAUUGAAUAUGAUGUUUAUGUUUGCUUAGAUACUAGAGGAGGAGAAAGUUUAUGACUUGUUGACUAUAGGUGAGUACCCAUUGUAUCUAAUGCCAAUAGAUGAGGAUGUAAUAUCGUUUGAGCUCGACCUUGCGUAUAAAGUAAGUCUGCUUGUACUUUUGCAUAAGAAAAAGUGUUCCAUACAUCUUGGAAAGGGACAUAUCUAAGAGCAGGUUAGCUUUGCUUGACAGGAUCAUUUGGUGGAUGGAGACACGACCUCUCUCUGGCACAUUGCAAAGGCUCUCCACAAACUAGAGGUCCAUUUCUUCUGUUUCUUAUCCUACUUGUCAAAUCAGUUUAUUCACUUCCUCAGUUUUCCCAUGUUUUCUAGUAGCCUUCUUUUACUUGAUGAAUGCAGUCUACUUUUGGAGUGAUACCAAAUAUUAGGGCCAAAGGGAAAGCAUCUGCACGUGUUGCAGACAUUUUGAAUCGCAUGCAAAUUGAAGAACCUGUUAAUGCAUCAGAUGUACUUAUGCUUCAACUUAUAGGCUUUUUAUAUUUGUUUGAUUUGAGAAUCUUCUAUGUUGUCUAUUGGCAAGUAAAAGGAUCUUUUCUUCUUGCUGCAGGCUGGCAUGCCAGAAAUCAAUACUCUGAUCCUCCUAGACAGAGAGGUAUUCACUCACUCACACUGUCUCUCUUUCAUAGAUAGAUAGAUGGAUGGGCACAGAUAUGUGUAUACGUUUAUAUGUGUGAAAGGGUGUAUGUGUAUUUAUGUACAAGCUUAGACCAGAUUACUGAUGUAUAUAGGACUAUGUCUCCAUAUGACAUCUUUAUAUUUACUAUUAACUUUAUAGUAGUUCAUCACCUCAUGCUCACAGAGUUAUUAUGCACUCGAAUAAGUUAAAUUUUUUUUUAAUCAUCAUGAAUGAGCUAGAGUAGGAGGUUAUAACAUCUGGCUAGCUACCUACGGUGGGAACUGUUCCAAUCAGAGGGUGGUAUAUAGGUGUCUAUUGACCAUUCAGGGUUGCUGAAAGUGUACACGUGUGCAUCACAAAAUUUUGAAAUCACAUUUCAAAAUAUUGUAAUUUGAGAUAUUAAAGCCUGGGUAAAGGCAGGCUUUUCCUUUAGACCAAAGAUUACUCAUCUCUAGUCAUGGUAUUCAUGGACUUGGUUCGAAGGCUUGUUCUCUGAAAAAUUUAAUCUAGUAGCACUAAGCAAUCUAUUAUCACGCCUUAGUUUCAGGCUUGAAUGUUGGGAUUUUAAUUGUAAUGCUAAGAAAUAUCUUCAGUCUGAUUGCUAUUUGUUGUUUCUGCUGCAGGUAGACAUGAUCACUCCUUUGUGUUCUCAGUUAACAUACGAGGGGCUGCUGGAUGAGGUAAAAUGCAAAAGAACUUCAUUGGACACUGAUAAACUGAAUUUGCGUACUAAUUUGCAUUGCUGAGUACUACUUUACAAUAGCUGCAAUUCCUGCUGGAUAAAAUGUAAUUUUCUCUUUUGGUAGUUGGCUAAUAUGAUCCGUGUCCUGUGUAUUUGGCGUACAAUAUAUUGCUUAGCUUUUCUACUGGUUGCAUGCAGUUUCUUGGUGUCAAUAAUGGUGCGGUGGAAGUAGACUCAUCUAUUAUGGGUGUUCAGCAAGAAGGAAAAAAAAUGAAGGUUCCCCUUAAUUCAACGUAUGUUAGUUCUAUUUAUGCACUGCUUAGCAUCUCUCAUCUUCCUGCGAUUCUUAUUCUUUACUUUGUGAUGAUCUGUUUUGCUGUAUGCUUAUCUCUUCCAAUCCCUGUUGUCUAAACAUCUUAAAAAUGCUCUUCAUCUCUUCCAUACCAAAGCAAAAUUGGGUUUCCUCUGAGCAAUUUCAGAAUCAAUUAAGUUUUUUUUCUUUGUGAAAGAAUUCUGAAUUUGUCUAUGCCUUUUUUUUUCUUUCUAAGAUGAAAGGUUUUCCUGCCCUGCUGGCUAUUUGUAGACUUUCCCCUUCUAAUUGAUGGUUCAAUUGUUGUCUAGUUGUUCUGUGCGCAAGUAUACAUCAGUGCGACAUGUAAAUAUCUUGCAUGCCUUGGCUUUGUAACAUUUACUGAUUCUUUUUCUGCUCUUACUCCAGUGACAAACUGUUCAAAGAGAUACGGGACUUAAACUUCGAAGUUGUUGUCCAGGUUGACCUGUUUUGAGCAUAUUUUCAUGUCUGCUCACAUCCUGUUCAAUUAGUUUUAUCAUUUUUCUCAUGUGCAUUCACAGUGUGAUUGCAGGUUCUACGUCAAAAAGCAACAUCCAUGAAACAGGACUACACAGAGAUGACAACUACUGUAUGUGGUCAUUAAAGUAGUUUUCUCAUUUUUUAUGCCCCAAAUCAAUUUUAUGUUCGGUUUUGUUGCUAAGUAUUAAAUUGGCUAGUUUGUACAAAAGAACAUAUGGUCCAAAAUACUUCCAUGUAGUUGUGCAAAUUCCAUGUGCUCUUGCUGAUGAAUAUUUUCAAAAUGGAGACUUGACUGAUCAUGUCAGUAAAAAGGCUUAGUGUUUACAUGUCUAUACAGUUACUGGUGGCAGAUUACCUAUUAUAUACUGCUUUCUCCUAUAUUGUUUUUGUUUUUAAAAGAAUAACAACAAAAUAAUUCCCCAUCAAAGCUUGGGACGGAAGCCAGUGUUAUUAGGAACAUAAACUAGAGAAUGUCUAAUAGAUUUAAUCAAAUUUAUAGUGAUAUCUACCUAGUAGUGUAUAAUAUUGUGGAUUCAUCAUGAUGAAGUGAGUAAAAUAUUUUUUUGCUAAGCACUUGAGCAUCUUCUUCUACAUGGCACUAAGAAUUGCCAAAAUGAACUGCCAGGUUUUCCUUCUUAAUUACAUGGAUGGCUUUGUCACGUGGAUCCAUUGUUUAAGCAAACCUAAUUAUCCUCCCCCCCCCCCCCCCCCCCCCCCGAAAAAAAAAAAACCCAACAAAAAAGUUAUUCUUGUUUCUCCAAUAUGAGGAUCUUUAUAUUGCUCUACACACUAAGAAUAUUCUCUGACAUGGUGCUGCAUUGCAUACAGAAUCAAACAGUAUCUGAAUUGAAGGACUUUGUGAAAAAGCUGAACUCAUUGCCUGAAAUUACUGUAAGUUCUUCAUGGAUUAACUGCAGUUAUCGUUCUUGAUGGUUCGAUUGUCAAGUUCCAGAUCUAAGUGCUGUCAACUAUUGUUUCAGCGGCACAUAAAUCUUGCUCAGCACUUGUCAACUUUUACAUCAAAACCUUCAUUUCUUGGGCGUCUUGAUAUGGAACAUACAAUUGUUGAGGCUGAGAGCUAUGACAUGUAAACUCAAUUUCUUUAUCUUUUAGUUCUUCUAAAGUAAACUCAGAGAAGUUUACAUUUAACUGAUCCUUUUACUUAAUAAAACUUUGUUAAAUCAGAAGAUUUAAUAUGAGCUAAACUUGCUGUGGCUUACUAACAUAAUAAGCUUCAUUUGAUGUGGAAUGCUUAUCUUCAGGGUAACUUACACAUCCUAGCUGAGUCCAGUUUUGUUCUGGUUGCAAAAUUUUUGUUCUUUUCUCUAUUGAGUUAACUUUAGCAAUGUGAUUGCUUGUCAUGUUUACUGUUGUGUAGAUAUUCCACUUACUUUCUCAACUGCCAAGUCAUUUACUUUGACCACCAUUUUUUUCGGGUAACUUUGGGGGCUCGCAUUUGAAGUUGAAGCAUUUUGGAUUAAUUAUCCUCUUUUAUUUGCUAUAUAUUUUCCAAAUAUGGUAUUAUAUAUUCUAACCUUGAUUUCCACACACUUUAUAUGCCCUGUUCACUCAGUGCUUUUCCCAAAUUACAUUCUCAGUGAGUCUGAUCUCCAAACCUCCUUUGCCUCCCUUGGAAACUAGUGUUGUCAUCAUCGUCUUUUUAUUUUUGUUUGCCCUCAACCAUGAUCAAAUAAAUUUGCAUGCAUCCCACGUGAACAUGGUCCAUUGUCCCUUGAUGGCCUACUUGGCUGCAGAAACUAAUUGUGGACAUUAAUGCAGAUGCUUCGAGUACAUUGAAGAGAUGAUCCACAAGCAGGAGCCUCUAGUUAAUGUUCUGCGUCUCCUGAUCUUGUUUUCAAUAACAAAUUCAGGACUGCCCAAAAGGAAUUUUGACUAUUUGAGGCAAGUGGAGGGCAGAAUGCAUUGAUUUUCUGUUUAGUCUGAUUUUGCCUUUCACAUGUGGUAUUUCAUGAUUUUUUCUCUGAGUUUUCAGUAUCUUUUGAAACUUGUUGACCUCCAUAGUGUUGUUUUAGGAGAGAGUUGCUUCACAGCUAUGGUUUUGAGCACAUGGCAACUCUGAAUAAUUUGGAAAAAGCUGGUUUGUUCAGGAAGCAGGUCUGAAUAGCACAUCCUAUCUUUCACAUAAUACAGUUGUAUGCAUUAUUGACCUGAUGGUUGUAUUACUCUUCAUCUUAUCCCUUGCAGGAGACAAAAGGCAACUGGAUUACGAUCAAACGCGCUUUGCAGCUUGUAGUUGAGGAUACAGAUACUGCUAAGUAGGGAUUGAUUUCCUGUCAUUGAUCAAUGUCUGAUUAUAUUUGUUCCAAUCAAAGAAGUUUUAGUAUAUUCCGGUAGUAGGUGAUAAAGGACAAAAAGGAUUUUCUCAGAAAACACCUCCAGUUUCCAAAUCAUGUUUCAUCUCCUUCAGAAACUAUGGUGGCAUAUAAAUUAUUUAUUCUUUCUAUUAGUGGUACACCAGGAAAAAGUUUGUAGCGUGAGAAACUCCUAGAAACUUUAGCUGACCACUGAUAGCUCCCAUCUUGCAAAGAUAAGUUAUUGGGGAGAAGGGUAGUGAUUUAGCCAAAUUUGGCAGCAGUUAAUAAUAUCCAUGUUGAUGAUUCAGUUAUGUCCAUCAGAUAUCUAAGUGGUCUAUCUUUCAUGGGCUGACUUCUUUUGAAUUUUUCUUAAAUUUAAGUUGACUUCAGUUUUAAAGCAUCUAGUUGUGCAGAGUGGAAUUAGUGGGUAGAUAAUAUGUUGAAUUAGAUCACUAGCUAGAGUCUCAAUUACCCAACCUGUAAGAUAUUUCAUUGUUCAGGGAAAGAUUAAAUUUGAAAGAUAUUCUUUGGGAGAGAAUGGUAAACUUUUGAUCUCAACAAAGAAUGAAAAUUGCAGGUGCUGAUAACCAAGAAGAGAUGUAACUAUCAAAGGUAUAGCACGUAGAAGGGCAUGCUGCCUGACCAUAUAUAUAAUUUGGUUAAAUCUUUUGUUUGGGAAUGUAGUUCUUUUUUGGCUUUCAGUUCUGUAUGGUGCCUGAUCAAUAAAGUACUUUACUUUUUUGUUGGAAAAUUUUUUUUUAAGCAUCUGUAAAGGUCAUUCUGCAUUGUUUGUUAGCUAAUCCAUUUGUAGGAUUAUUUACUGACUUCUAGAAGUUUCUGCAUUCCUCUCUGUUGUUGCUAACUUGUGAUGCUUUUGACAUAACAGUCCCAAUGAUAUCUCCUAUGUCUUCUCUGGGUAUGCACCUCUCAGUAUUCGCCUUGUUCAGCAUGCAAUCCGAUCUGGAUGGUAAGAUUCAUUUUUGAAGCAUGUUACCAAUUUAACAAGCCAAAUCCUUGCAUCUAGCUGUUUGGCUUGUUUGUUGGAAGAAUAUGAGUCUAAACAUGGUUUUCUCAUCUAAAUCCAAAGGCUCCAAAAUGGGGGUAGGGAGCAGGGAAGAAAGUAGGUAUAUAAACAUAACGUAUUUUCUUUGCAGCUAUUUUUUUUGGGGAUCUUAGUUGCUAUUAUAUAGAGAACUAAAAGUGGACUGUCUAUUAGUCUGAAGAAAAGGAAUGAACAAAAUAAAACUCCAGUUUCUUCAGUGGAUUUUUUUUUAUGGCUUAGAGCUAUGUGGCCAGAAGAGAAAAGAUUCACUAGGGGUAAAAGGUCUAGUGAAGAUAUAGACUUGGCUUGCUGCUUAUGGAGUUGCAAUAAGUGCCUGCCAAACUGGUUCUUCUCACUUCAAUUGUCACUCUCAACUGUGGAAGCUUCUGCUUCUACAACAUCUGAUGCAUGUUUAAUGUCUGUAUUCACUACUACAGGUGUUGAAAAACCUCUCUUGGAAAGUAGUAGUGUUGUGUAUGUUUCAUUGGUGCUUGGAUGAAGUAAACACUAACCGCUGUAUUUUCAAUACAGUUGAUUUUAGACAGCAUGUCUAAAUACAGAUGGUUUUAGACAACAAGUCUGAAUACGGAUGUGCCUUUUGAAUUUCAGAUCAAGCAUUAGAGUAGAAUUUGUAUCUCCAUGGAGUUUCAGUGGAAGUGUCAAUUAAAUACCAUGAGAUAAAUUAUUGACAUAUUUUGAGAAAAGAUGUUGUUAUUCAAGGAAUUGUUAGCUCUAGUUUUUCAUUCAAAUUGAGGACCAAAAAAAACUUUUAUCUUUCUAUUACUUGAGUUUUGAAAGAGUUUUAAAAUGCAUUUUCUUUGAAUACCAUGUAAAAUUAGAGCUUCAAACAGGUCUUUACUGUACUGGAUGCUUCGAAUGUUUUGAAUUGAGUGUCCUAUUCAUCAUCUUGAAGGUUCGCUUUCUGGAUCAAGAGCAAACCAUAACUUUAAUUAUUUAGGAAUUCAUUGUUAUUCUACUUUCUCAAACCUCUUUCCGUUAUUGAGUGAUAUAACUUAUUUGAAGUAGUAUGAGAUAUGGCUUUCUGUAAUCUUGUGGUGAAAUAAAUUUUCAGGCGCCCUCUUGAAGAUAUACUGAAGUUACUGCCAGGACCACAUACAGAAACCAAGAGAGUCAGUAUUGUGUUUGCCUUGACUUUCUUUUUCAUUCUUUUUACUGCUAGACUCCAUGUUCCUGUUAUGAUAUGGACGCUGCAGAAGACUCUUACUAUGGUUUAUCUUAUCAACAGAGUGGAUAUGUUGGCGGUUCAUAUGACAAUAUUUCCAGUUCUGUGCUCAACUUAGCCAAGUAAGUUUUCAGGCAGUACAUUGAUGUUGUCAUAAUUGUUUGCUUCCUAUAUGAAGAAGGAUCCUGUGAUGCUGUACAAAUGCAGGAUCAUUGGUCUAGAGUUGCAAUACAUUGUUUAGGUAGCAACAAAAAUUUCCUUCCUGUUUCUGAUGCUAUAUUGCCUCUCUCGGUUUUGUUUAUGCUCUCUUUUAAAUGAAUCUGAUUAGAGGUUUGGAAUUAUGAAAGCUGUAUUGGCUCCCAAUUGUGGUUGGAGAUAGGGAUUUUGAGCCAAAGAGUUUCAAAAGCUAAGAGUUGAACCAAAUUCUCUUUUUGACACCUUUUGAAAUUUCAGAGUUGGAGAUGGAAGGCGCUCUUUGGUCCUUGUUGUUUUCGUUGGAGGGGUUACAUUUGCAGAAAUCGCUGCCCUUCGUUUCCUCAGCUCUCAGGUAUGUUUUCAAUUGCAAGUCAUAGGUUUCAAAUGACUUUUUCUUUUAAUGUUUGACAGAUCAUGAGUUACUUUUAGUGCUCAUUUCGGUAUAUCAAAAUGCAAGAAUAUUUUAGUACUACUAUUUUGGUAUUGUUCAUUGGAGUGCCAAUUGACUAAUUUCAUGUUUCUAGUAAUUUCAAAUGUGAAUCACUAAAGGUUAUGGUUCAUUGUCAUACUGUCUCACGACAGUGAACCAUAUGCCAGACAGCGUCUGCUUGUGCUCCGUUGAUGGUGUUAAUUCCCUUGGUCAUACCACCCUUGGCCUUGGAAACCUUUAGUGCUUCUUUGUACUCUUAGGCGGCAAAAGACAAAAUGGAAAAGUGCAAUCUCUUGCUGUCUUGCAUUAUAUGAUACUGCUUGCUUGCAGGCAAAGAACUAUGAAAUGGCCUGCUUUGUCUCCAGUUUUCAACCUUUACCUUAAAUUUCUUGUUGUCUCGAGCACCAUUGCAUCUGCUGCUGCUGUUAUCUUGUCCAUGUCAUCUUGUCAAUAUCGCUAAAUGUCUCCGUGCAAUUUUCACUGUGCAGGAGGGAAUGGCAUAUGACUUAAUUAUAGGAACCACGAAGAUCAUCAAUGGUCAAACGUUAAUUGAACCAUUUGUUGAGAAAUUGGGAUAACUUUUAAAGCUCCUUUUGGACAGUUAGUGAGCUGCAGAAGAGGAAGGAGGCUGCUCCUUGCUUGUCACCCGGAAGAUCAUAGCCAGCUUGCUUCCUUUUGAUUGUUAAGCAGAUGUUUGACUUGUACGUGAGGUGUUCGUUUUGACAAUGGAUCGUAAAUGGGCUUGUACAUAAAGAAAUGAAUUCUAGCCCUUUUUACUCUGCACAAGGAAUGCUUGCCAGGUGGUUUGCACUUCAGCAGGUAUAGUGCGAAAUUUGGUGUCAUUUCAUUCACCACCUCAUCUGGCGGCAUGUCUAUUUUUGCUGGCAAAAGAUAUGAAAUUUUUUGGACGGGAUAUCUUGGUAGUAUGUAUUGGUUGGAUGUAUUUCACCUCGUAAGUAAUUAUGAUUUGAACCUACAGAAAAUUAAUCUCCAUUUCUCGACUACAUGGACGUAUGUUUGUAAAACAAGAGCUUGUUUCGCUGAAAUUCUUUUUUGCAUACUAGGUUUUGGAUUUCAACUUUUACUUUUGGACAAAGCAAAUUCUGGAGAGAAUGAAGUUGGUAACCCCUUCUAAUGAGGGGAUCAUUUACCUAACGAGGGUAACGUGUUGACCGUUUUACAUGAGUUCGUUGACACAUUUACUGUAUCAAUUUUGCUAACGUCAAUACCAUAAACAUUAACAAAGUCCAUGGUUAAAAAUAAAUACAUUGAUUAAUAUGUAUACUUUUACCAUUAGAUAUAUGACGCAUAAUUUGAAUUUAAAUUUAAAACUUAAAUUUUGCAUGUGUCGUGUAUCUAACUGUGAUAGUGCAUAUACUGUCAGUGUAUAAAAGAUUAAUUCUUUUUAAAUAAAUCUUAUAUGUACUAACAGUGUAUAUACCAUUACGAUUAGAUGCAUGACACGUUAACAAAACAGAAGAAAAUCAGUUUUUUCAUUUACGAACAUGUUUACCUUCUCCCUACCUCAGGGGCGUUUCAUUCCCCAGCAUGACAGUAACUAAUACCUCUGAUUAAUUUAAUGUUAGUUGCUUUUCUUAACACACAACCCCCCCCCCCCCCCCCGGCCCCCUAAAUUUUUUUUCUGUACCACUUGCCUUGGAAAACAAAUCUUUUUGUCUUCGUUUUGACCCCAAAGGUGUGCGCCUGCAAUAAUACUAGAAGGAUUCCUUUUCCUUCUUCCCUUUUUCCCCAUUAUUCCCUUUGCUUUGGGGAAACGUAUUUUGGAAACGCAUUCCUUAUGUUGUGCUUUGCUGGCAGGUGACGAAGAGCUUCCUGAUUCUAUUAUUUCUUGUUUGAAAGGGCAAGGAAGCUGGUAGAUAAGAUUAUUUAUUGGCUGGAAAAGGAUUUUUCUCGACGGAUUACUUUCAAGAAUCCAUUACACAAGUUUCUCACAGCCGCCAGAAUCACAGGAACCUCAACUUCGAGAUUCCAAGGGGAUUCUUCUUCUUCGUCCCUUCCCCACCCCCGGGGCCGCGCCAAACAAUUCAUAUUACGUCAAUGACAUGAAAAUGAGGGCAUGAGCGGUAAUUGAUGAUUACUGUGAAGAAAGGUCAUAUAACUCGAAACGCUUUAAAGAUUUAAGGGUAAAAAACAAAAGACCUGCAGUAUAUCUAAUACACAUAAAAGCCCUUCGUGGUUUUAAAACAUACAAAAUCACACCUCAUAUUUUGAAUUAAAUAGUAAACUAACAUAAUUCGUUAAACCUAACGAAAUCUGGUAAACUUAACGAAAAACUUAACAAAAUCCGAUAAAUUUAACGAUAAACUCAACGGAAUCCGAUACAUUUAACGGCUGAAAUCGUCAUUUUCGUUAAAUUUAACGAAUUCUGUUAGUUUACAAUUUAAUUCAAAACAUGAGGUAUCGUUUUGUAUGUUUUGAGAUCAUUAAAAACUUUUCUGUGUAUUAGAUAUACCACAGGGGACUUUUUUGUUUUUAACCCAAGAUUUAAAGAUAAUAAUAAGCAGUGUUGCAGUACAAUUGACUUCACUGUAACAUUCAUCAAACCUGUGCACUGCAUUUUGACGCUAUGAUGGAAAUAGUAAAACAGAAAGCCUUUAACAAUUACGUGAUCUUAACAAAAAUGACCUGUUUCUGUGUGCAAAAAGUUUUAAUACACGGAAACAGCUAUUAUGCACAUCUUGAGGAUUGAAAUUUCCACCUGGAAUAUAAAUUAACAGCCAAACAACCAGGCUUAGCGUUCCCUUGGCAUUUCAAAGCAUCCUGUUUUGACCAAUGUCAAUUCCAUGGCUCCAGGAUCAGCAAUAGAUGUCCUCACAAUUAACUCGGAAUCCACCACCUUCCUCAUGGUCAAGAUACAAUUUUACACAUCAAUCAUUUAACUCCCUUCAUGCCUCUUUCUCAGCAUACCUUUCAAUUCCAGGACUGGCUUUGACAUAACCAAGAAGUGAUUGAGGCAAGGGAACCCUGCGGGGUGGUGGGAUUCUAUCGCUUUAUACAGGAUGUGAUUUCAUACAUCUACAUUUUUUUUUUUGUAUUGAAGUAAUGUGGUGCAUUUGCUUUUCUCUUAUGCUCAAUGAUGUAAACUCUUCUGUUCUUUCGCCUUGCUUAGCACGUCUUGCAACAUGGGAAUCCCCGCGAACGGUCUGAAGUCAUUAGCAAGCUCGCUGGACAAAUUGUGAAGAUGAGUCAGCAGAAAUUUGCUUCCAAUGUCAUUGAGAAGUGCUUAGCUUUUGGUGGUCCACAAGAGCGUAAAGUUCUGAUAGAUGAGAUGCUUGGUUCCACCGAUGAAAAUGAACGCUACAGCGUCGAUUUUUAAAUCUUAGUCCCGCAUGCCAAGAUUCAGCUAUUAUCCUUUGGUUACUGAGCAUUUGAUUUGAUGAUUUGGCAGGCCACCUUUUGUUUUACUGACAUAUUUCUUGGUCCUUCUGUGCUUCUAUUUUGAUUUUUAG